GCAAACGAAACUUUGCUAGAUCAAUUGGUGAAUUGUUUUGGAAUGAAAACAUUUCUUAAAGCUGUUUUUUUCUUUGAAAUGGAUAUGUGCCUCUUUACUAUGUAAGAACAAAUACAAAAGAGACUCCAAACAGAAAUGAUUUUUUUUUUUAUAAGAAACAGAAAAUUUUAUAUAUAUAUAUAUAUAAAUCAGCUAAUAGAAAACAGCCAAAGGGCGAGGGGAUGACCCCCCCCCCCCCCCCCCCCCAAAAAAAAAAAAAAAAAAAAAAAAACUAAACAAUAAGCCUCUUCUUGUUAAUAAUCAUGAGAAGACUGUAAUUACAAAAUGAUUUUGUGUUGUACACCGUGAAAAGGUCGUAUGUUGCACAAGAGCCCAAAAAGAAUCAAAAGAGCUAAAAUUAUCAUCGACACAAAACUGAAAUGAUGAUUACAAAAAUAGAAAAAAUAUACUUUAAGACGGACAAUUUGUUAGAGUAUUGAUAUAAUAUUGAAUUUACUUUCACCCAUCAACUUAAGCUGUUGGAUUAAUUGGUGAUUGACAUGCCAUAAGAGCUCAUGAAGUCUAAAUAGGCAUUUGGUUCGAAAAAUUAAAAAUUAGGAUCCAAUGAAAGAAUUGUGAACUCAAAGAGGCACCAUCUCGAUGGAGCAUGGUGAGGAUCCAACAUUGGAAGAAUCAAGGGACUUCACUAUCUUUAUAAGUUAGAUGAGCUAUUCCUUUCGUUGCCAAUUGGUUUGAGAUAGAAUCUAAUUAUGUUAUCUAAUACCGUCCCCACUGUGUCAAGUCUUCAUAUUCUUGUCUCACAGAAAAUUAAAAGUGGGUUUAAUUUAAACUGCUCCUAGGUUUUAAAUUUUUGGAUUUAAUGAAGUCUUUGGUUUCAAUAAAAUGAAAACAUAAGAUACCAUAGAUUUCUAUGCGUACAAUCAUUUACUCAAAGUUUUGUUUAAUUUCAUAAUUUGAAACUACCAUCGUACCAUCUGAAAUGUCUUUUUCCUCUAAAUUGACUUUCCAUCUACCAUCCUACCAUCUGAAUAAGAUCAUUUACUGUAUAGUAUUGUGGCAAUGAUAGCAUAAACAAUUGUCAAAGCACCAGCUGAGCUCGAGGGCUUGUAACUCAUAUGUAGGCUUUAUAUUGGCCUGUCCAUUCAAAAAACAAUUGUAAAAGUGCCACUUCCACUUUUCACUGACAACUCAAAUUAAAUAUAUCCUUAAUUUAUCAUGGUUUGAGCACAAGAUAUACUAUGAUCAGCCUGUAAUAUAAUUUCUUUUUCUGUUAAUAUUGAUUUCACGUAUUGGGUCUUCUACAAAAAUUCAAACCUACAAAUGGAGGGAGUGUUAAAAGGGUUGAUAUAAUUAAAUUUACCAUAACCCAUUAGCUUAAGCUUUUGGGUCAAGUGGUGAUUUACUAGUUUUAAUGCUCUAGCAACCUUGUGUUGUUGAUGUCCUCACUUGCUUUAACGUACGGUGUAUACUAGCAUGGUCUUAUGCUUUUGAACUUUUGAACUUUUCAGUACUGGACUUUACCAUGCAACUACUGGAGACUGGACUAGAAAAUGAUGCUAUUGUAGCACUUAUUGCUUUCUGUCUUCAGUAUAUUCUAGUUAAUCAUGAGUAUUGGAAGUACAAAGUUAAGCAUACUCGUUGGAUUGUAACUUUGAAGGUAUGCUCUCAUUUAUAGCAGAUGUUUUCUUGGCUUUGUUACUUUGUCAAAGUCUCUAACAGUGCGGACUAUAUAAUUUUUACCUUCAGUUGACUGUAUCAAUUUCGUUGUUUAUUCUAGUAAAAUUUGAAGUUUGAAGGGUUUUGUGUGUGUGUGUUUCGUCUUUCACAUCUAGUAUAUUUUAAACUGAUUGCCGUUGGUAUCUUUUGCGCCUGGCAUGAUCCAAACAUUUUUCUCAAGGAUAUUUCUAUCAAAUUGAUAGGGCUUUAUUUUUAUGCUUAUAUCAAGAAAAAAGCCUUCUUGUAAUAUCAACACAUAUAUAUGUUAGCUUGUGGUUGGAGUGUCCACUUUUUUAUUAUUUUUGUUGUAGAAAGUUGAAAGGUUGCAACUUUUCAAUUUCAAAAAGUUUUUGUUUGUUUACAAAAAAGAAAAAUUUAUGUAUCUUAAUUAAAAAAAGAGAGAUAAAAAAGAGUAUUGGAAUGCAAUCGUAGUUUACCUGUCAAGUUUGUUAUAAUUGUUUAGGGAAAGGCUUGGCUCAAAUAUUUGUUCCAUUUCUGUUUAUUCUGACUGAUUAUCCAUUCUGUUGCAGGUGCUUGAGAUGAUGAGGAGAUGCAUUCUCGUAAGCUCAGGCCCUGGAAAACUGGGGCCACUUGUCCAGAAUAUGCUUCUUUUUGAUUCUUCCAUCCAUAACACUCUUUUUCGAGUGGUUUGUACGACUAGACAAGCUCUCGAGGUCUGUCUAGCAAAUGUAGUAUGUGUAUAUUUUAAGCUUAUUCAUUUUUUGACACGGGUUAUGUUCAUCAGAAACUAUAUAUUAGCCGUCUUUCUGAACCAAGGGAGAUUGAGGGUUUAGAGAAUGCCAUCUGUUCUGUCCUGGAUAUUUUUUUCAUCAUGCUUUCUGCAUUUUCAAAGGUAUUUCAUGAUUGCAUCAUAUUUUUGUUUUUGAAAUGUAAUUAUUUCUUAGAAUCUUUGUUACUGUAACCAACCUUUGGGUUCAUAUAACUUGUUCCAUUCUAGUAGUUUUAUGCAUCGUUAAUGAGUAUAUCAAGUCAAGGAACCUAUUAUUAUUAUUGUUAUUAUUAUUUCUUCUCACAAGAAACAAAACCGAAACGUUUGGUGGCUUGUUGUUUGUUGGCUUUUUGUCUUGUUUAGCUUGUAUUCAUCUACAACCAUUAUAGUCUUGUAUUUUUUUUAAUAUUUCCUUGUAAAUAUUGAAUUUUGAAAUCUUAAUCUCUUUUCAUUUUAUUGAUUUUUUUUUUUGCUGCAACUCAAAAAUGGUUGCCAUAUAUGGUUAAAAAUCACAGAAAAGUACGUGCCAAAAUAAUGUUUUAUUAUAUUUUGCAAAGGAAGAAGGGUGUUCUUAAAUAGAAGAACAACCCAUUACGAAGAAGGAAAAAAGUAAAUCGGGAAAAUAUAAUACAACCAAUACAAUCAAAUAUAAUACAAAAAGGGAAAUAAUCAACACUCCCCCUCAAGCUGGUUUGAAGAUAUCAAUCAUUGUCAGCCUGUCAAUCUAUUUGUUGAAUUGCCACUUUGGAAGGCCUUUAGUUAACACAUUUGUAAUUUGUUAUGUUGUCUGAAGAUAGAGUAUGCAUAUUACUCCUGCAUCCAACUUUUUCUUUAUAAAGUGUUUAUAGACUUUGAUAUGUUUCGUCCUGAUUGUGGGCAAUGGAAAUUGCUGCUUUGUUAUCACAGUAAAUUCGCAUGGGCAUUAUUUGAGUGAAUCUCAAUUCUUCCAACAAUUUUCUUAUCCAUAUACCCUCAUAAAUACCUUGCAACGGCUCUCACCUCUCCCCUCCCUCCUCCCCCCUCCUUCCUUUCUCCUUCUCCCUUUUUAAUUUUUUCUCUUUCCGGUAGCUCCACAGUGACUGCACCCAGACUACCACCGUUAGCCCUCUGGUGAAGACUACCCUCAAACCAAUCACUAAAGUUCUGGUGGUGAGUUUUUGUUUUAAUUGCACAGAGAAGUUUAGAAGCCAGAUUUCAAUGGAAGUGGUAGGUUUCAAAGUUCUUCAAUUGUAUUAUCGCAUUUGCUCAGAAGAUGUAAUUUCCUUGUUGAAGAAGUGGAAGCUCAAAGAGGUUUAUCAGUAUCUGAAGCUCAACUGAGCUGGUUCCUGGAAGCGUUAUUGAUGUUAUUAAGAGGUUGGGAAGGUUGUUUCUUCCAGAAACAGGCAGAGUUAGACUGGAGUUGUUGAAGUUCAGGGCAAAGAAGGGAUGGGCAUUAUGUUGUGACCUUUGGCCAUUGUUAGGUGGACACUCUUUCAUUAGUGUGUGUUCGGGAGAAGACAGAGAAGGGUGUCUGGUAUUUCACAAAUUCUGGAGAAUUUCCUUUGAAAACAUAGUAUAUAAGUUGGUAUUCACAAAAAAUUGUCUUUUAAUCCAACACGGGCUAAGAAUACAAGCUUCGCAGAUAAAGUUAAAUUAGAGGGUAACUUAGCCUAUGAUAAAAAGAAAGUAAAGCAGAGUGCCAUUAUAGUUGUCUCUCAGUCCGUCACCAAUGAUGAAGGAGAAAGUUCUCAGGACUCUGCUUUGAAGACAGCAAAACAGAGCCAAUGGGUGAUAAAAAAUUUGAAGGUUAUUUGAGCAAAGUUUGAACAUCUUUGGAUCGUUUCAAGACUCUUGCGUUGGAUGAUUGGAGAGAAAUCCGAAAAUUGCUGGAAAUCUAUUUCCGAACAAGAAUUACCAUCAACCCACUGUUCGAUGAAAUCACUCAUAUUAGUCUAGACCAGGGCUUGGUUGAAGACUUCAUCAAUGAACCUGGGAGAUGGGGUGGUUCCACCUUAAGUUCGAAAAAUGGGAUAGAUUUAAACACAGCCAGCCCUUGGUGAUGAAAGGCUUUGGUGGAUGGUUGAGAAUUAGAAGCCUUCGUUUGGACUAUUGGUGUAGAAAAACUUUCAAAGCCGUUGGAGAGUAUUUCGGGGGGUUGGAAAACAUUGCCAUAAAAGCGCUUAACCUGACCAAUUUAUGUGGUUUUGUACCCCUACCAUUGAAAUUACAAUAGAGGUUAGGCAAAAACCCUAUUGAUGAAAUGAGGGUUAAGCAAGCUUUGGAAGAUGAAGACGUUAGAUGUUUUUUUCUUCCCUACAGAACUUGAUGUGUUUGAAUCCACUAAAACUUCUUCCUCCUCUUCAAGAAAUCCGUUCAAAGCCUUGAAUCACAUUCAAGGUUCCUUAACGGUGCUGGAGAAGAAGAAUGGGGCCUUAAUGGUGCCAUAGGAGGAGAUUGAGUUCGACGACUUGAUUGGAAAUGGAAUCUGUUUGUUAGAAAUUAGAAAGCCGCAUUCAAGGAGGGAGAGAGAUCAGUUGCAGAUAACUGUGCUUUAUCUCAUUGGGCCUUAAUCUCCCUCUAACUAAACCUUAGUUUGUUUGAAUGAUAUUUGUCCUUUUCUUAUUUUUCUUUUAGUAUAAGACUCUUGUACUUUGAGCUUUAGUCUCAUUUAUUAUUAAUAAAGAGACUUGUCUUCAUUAAAAAAAAAAAACAUUGCAAGGGCUUGAACACAAGAUCUUUCUAGACCACUUGCUUUGAUAUCAUCUUAAAUUGCCAAUUGACCUAAAAACUUACGUUUGUGGGUGAAAGUUUUAAAUCUAAUCUUUUAAGUACAAAAUCAUCCAACGUUUGUUUGGUUGGAUUGCCACUGAAAGUUUUAUUUUCUAUUUAAUGAAUAAUUACUAUAAAAAAUGACUAUUAAGUACUAUGAACUAGUAGUUUCAAAUGUAUAUUUGAAAACCUUUCACGGUAUAGCUUUUUUGUUUUGUUUUAUCUUUUCUUUAAUAUAUGAUAAAUCAUGUUGGGGUUAUAGUUGUCGUUGGAGAUUAUCAAUUGAGUUGCCCACUAAAGGUAGUUGUGUGGAGCUGGUUGUUGCCGAAGGUGGCAGUCAAAGUUUGUUGUUGGAAAUGUUAAAGGUUGUUGGAGUUUGUUGCUAGAGCGUGGUAUUCUAUUUGUUGAAGUUUUGUGGGCGGCAAGUGGAGUCACUGGUAACAUAGGGGAAAAUAAGAAACCAGUUGAGUUGGGUGAGUUUGUAAUAUCCAACUCAACAACUAAGUGGGUGGGCCAAACAUUGAGUUGGUGAACAAAACAUCCCCUAAGAAAUUCGUAAUUAAAAUUAUUGAAAGCAAUAAACACAAAAAUGAGGCUUACGAGGAAACUGGAGUACUGGGAGAAAAAUUGGGAUAUUGUUACUCUCAUUAUUUUCUGAUAAUUUACAAAGGUACAAUGAGAGAGAUUAAAUAGAAUACACAGAUAUAAAAAAAGGGCCAAGCCACAAAUUCUAACAAAAGUCAGAGAAGGAAGAUAGAAUUUAAAAAAGACUCUAAAUGGAUGAUGCUUCAGCCAUUUGAUGGUGCUUAUUCACAUUCUUUUACCAAUUCUAUUUUUCAAUUUCCUUCUGCUUAUUUUGAAAUGCAAUUGCACUAAGUGGUCGACCUAUUAAGAAAUCUAUUAUUGUUUUCCUUUAUAUUCUAUAAGUUCCAAGUUAAUACCAUAAAUUUGUUGUGCUUGAUUAAUUGGAAAUUGGUUAGAUUGGGUGUAUGAUCGACAUUUCAUUUCAGGAUUCGUCAGCUGCACCUGCCGUGUUUCAUCAAGCAUUGAUAUCAUUGAAAACAAAACCCAUUCCUAUAGCAGCAGCGGUCAUUUCUUUGUUAUCUUAUUUUCGAAAUGUGGUAUGCAUCGAUUGGUCAAUUCGAAUCAUCUUGUUUGAAAACUUCAUGAUGGUGAUCUUAUCCAAAUCCAAAUAUUGGUCUUAAUUGAGAGCUUUUCAUUUAUCCUUCUUGUAGUCUUAUUUUCAUUUAUCAUUAUAUUAUCUGUUUCUUUGCUUUCCUUGUUCUUUUAUUGCAUUAGUCCUUUCCCUAGAGGAGCUGGUAUCUUUUGAGAAUUAGCUUAUUUUCAGUCCAUCAAUGAAAAAGUUUAGCUUCUUUUUUCUUUUAAAUGCCAGUUCAUUGAAGUGUUCUUGGAAAGUUCAUUGCCAAAUCAUCCGUCCAUUAGUUACCUAAUAGUCAAAUGAACUUUGAGACCAUUAUUACCAUUUUUGAAAUCUGAAUGGACAAAAGUGAAUUUUGCAUAAAAAAUUAUUAUUGCAAGUAUAAAAGCAGUUCUUUAGUCUGCUUAUAGCCUAGAUUUUCCAUUACACCUUAUGCUUUUAUUAAUUCAAAUCAUGAAACGUAUGAGUAUGACUGAAAUUUUUUUUCCUUUAGUUUUUAUUAUUUUUUAUCAUUGUUUAUUUUCUGUCUUAAAAAUUUAUUGGUUGUGAUAUUUCUGCAGAGUGUACAAGUCGGUGCAGCAAGGGUACUGUCUAUGUUAUUUUUUAUAACAGACGAUGUGCAACCCCAUUUGUCUAGUGCAUGCUUUAGUCUUGAUGAUGAACAAGUAUAGUACUCCAUCUUGAGCUGUUUCCACUUGAAUAUUUCUGUUUCCUAUUGAGACAUUUUUUUGUUCUCAUGGCUUUAGAUAGCAGAGUUGAGGCAGUCAAUUGAGUGCAUACUUCUUAAAAAAUCUGCAUGGGACGAAGAUCUCUUUGUUGCUGUAGUUAACAUGUUGACAUCAGCAGCACUUUAUCAGGUUGGUUAUCGAACCUGCUUAUUUUGUGGUUAUAGACAUUGGGGGAUCACAUAUGAAUUCAUUUUUAAGUAGAUUUGCUUCCUUGUGUAUUCUUAUAAUGAAUACCCGGGAGGUCAUAAUAUGUUCUUUAUUCUUGUUUUCACUUCAAUUUAAACUUCUUGGGUUUUCUUGAUAUUUUUGUUAUAAGGUGUGUCAUAUGUGUAUAUUUAUCAUCUAUGUUUGUAAGGUUUAUUUAUUUAUUAGUAGAUGGUUUUUCUUUUAUGUCGAAGACUAGGGGUGUUCAUAAGAACUUUGAAAACCAAUCUGAUUGACUAAAUUAGUGUCGUUCGGUCAGUUUAAAGGAGAGGUUGGUCGGAAGUUUGUUUUCAAAACAUGCUUUUUUUUUUUUUUGAAACGGAGAGAAACUUCUUUAUUAAUAAGAACUCAGAGUACAAGAGAGUUAUACACUGAGAGUAAUAAAGAAGUCUAAAAUAGGGAACUUGGGGGAUCAGGAAGCAGACACGGACAUCUCAACUAGGUUGACACCCCCUUAGCGCCAAUCACCUCAUUUAUUGAUAAACAAUGAGACAAAAGCUCAUUGUACAAGAGGAUUGUACAACGAGCAAACAAAAUAAAUUGAACAAGGAUCAGGAGGUGCACCCAGGCAUCUCAACUAGGUUGUCACCCUCUCAGCACCCACAUCAUAUCCAACAAACAAAGAACCAAACAACCAAUAAAGUCCAAUUAGGGGAUAAACAAAGCCAAUUCAAGAGUCCCUUGGUUUUUCUGAUUUCUUUUAAAUCCUACAACAAUAAUUUAAAUCUCAAAGCAUCACAAAUGUCUUCUCAAAUCUCAAAGGCUUUAGAUUCCCAUGUUUACAUUAAUUCGCCAGGCUGCACCCAUGCACCCAAGCACUUGUUCCAGCCCCUUCUAUCAGGUGAAAUUCACAAUCUCUUCUUCCUCCACGGUUUAAAUAUUCUGUUUUUUCUUUGCCUAACUCUAAGGAGAAGUUUUUAGAGGUACACCGUACUUUACCCAAGCACUCCCUCGAAAAAGAAUGGUGAGUCUUCUUUCGACUCUUCUUUCCGUGUCAGUAGUGAGAAAUUGGCUCAUAUCGAGCAGUCAGUGGAGCUUGAGAGGCAUGAUCAUUUUGAGAUUCUAGAGACCAAUCUUAGUGCUUUAUUUCAAUUCGAGGAAGAACCGAAAGUUGAAAAGAUAUCCACAGAUAUUCAUUCUCAUAUCCAGUCUUGCGAAAUCCUAGAUCAUUUGAAGUCUAUAGUUGCUGAUUGUGGUCUGGUCUUUGUUUGAUAUUUUAACUGUUGAUUGCAGUCCUCCCCAUUUUUUGAACCUCUAUUUGUCUUUAUGAGAAGUUAUUUUUUCACAUACAAGAGAAAGCAAAAUCUUAUGCUUGAUGUUUGUUAGCUUAAAAGUUAUCUUUGUGGAUGUUUUGUCUUUGUUUUUAUGAUUAUCAAUGGAGGACAAAGAACUUUGGGCAAAGAAUUAUUGGGGUGGAUAGUUUUGAAGCAGCCGAUUGCCUCUUCUUGGUGUUCCUCACCUUCUUUCAAAUUGAAGCACGUGGAAUACAAAAUUUCAGUAUGAAGUGGACACUUUUCAUCAAAGUGUUUAUAUUUUCUUUGUAUUAAGGUCUUUACUAACGUUCCAAUUCUUUGUUGCUUUGGUUCUUUCGUUGUUUCUCCUUUGUGAUCGUUGGUAGGUUGUUUUCACGUGUCAGUGUUUGUGCUUCCUAGAUAAUUAUACUAGCCUUACAUGUAUGUUGGAUUGAGUCAAGCACUUUGAUGAAAAUAUAAACACUUUGAUGAAAAGCGCCCACUUCAAACUGAGAUUUUGAAUACCACAUGCUUCAAUUUGAAAGGAGAAGUAGUAACAUCAAGUUUUGCUUUGCAAGUAGGCAUGGAAACCUAAAAAUAAUUAUAAGGGAUCAAUAUGUCUCUUCAACCAUAGAAGCCAUGCAGCCGCUUUUAGGUUAUUGCGCUUGUAUGAGAUUAAUGCUCCUUUUUUAUUUCCAUAUUUUAUUUACAUUGUGCCAUUCUUGAUCUUUUAUCCCGCUUUACGAGGUCUUCUAGAAUUUUAUUUUGGUAGUAUAUUGCUAUCAUGCUUCUGCACAAUUGCCAAAGAUCUGAAUGAAGAUCCGAACCAAUCAUCAUGACCCCAAAUUAGUGUGGUUCCGCUCGAUGGUCCAUGUCUAAAGCUCAUAUUAACUGCCCAUAGACAUUCAUUGUGGUUCUCUGGCCUUUGCUUAGCAUCCAUUUGAUUACCUAUACAAUUCCAUGCCACUGUUGUUCCUUCUCAAGGGCAGCCGAUACAUGCUUAAGGGAUGCUAUUGGAAAGACUUGCUCCCAUGCAACCCAGGCAUCAAGAGCACCAUAAACAGCCUUCAUAAACAGGCAUCAAGAGCACCAUAAGUUGGUGUGGAUGAAUUGUUAGUGCUGUUUGUAAUUAGUGUUGAUUAUUGGUCCUUGUUAGGCCCCGUGCUCUCCUCUUGUUUCUUUCCAUGUAUUUUGUUUGAAUGUGAUGAGGGUUUUAAGAGGUGUCCACAUAAUUGAGAUGCCUAGGUGUACAUGCCGGUCCUCCCAUGUACUAAACUCUUUGUACUUUGUACAUUGAAACAUUGUCUCUUUUCAUUAUUUCAAUGAAAAGCGUGUUUCCUUUUCAGAAAUAAAAAAGUUGUGUUGGUUAGAAGGUUUCCGACAAGUUGGUGGGCACAAAUUCUUAUUGGAACUUUUUAGACCAUUGUAUAUUGUUGUUACUAAAUACAUGGGGAGUUUAUUAUUUUAUUUUUUUGAGUGCAUGCCUAGGUGGCCUUAUUCUAAUUUGGUAUUUCUCUACAGCCUUCUUUCCUUGUUACUUUAUUAGCUAGCAAGGAAAAUUUGACUGGCCAACUAAAUGUCAGUGGUGGUGGGACUCAUCAAACUAAAGAUUCUUUGCAAGCUUCAUCAGGAUUGGAGAAAUCAAGUAUUAUUGAUGCGCUCUUACAAUAUCUGAAGGAAGCCAAUAAGCAUGCCAAAAGGUUCAUUCUCUAAAAGCAUCCUUCCCGAUUAUCAGAAGAUUACUCUUAUUUUUACAUUUUAAAAAUAUCUAAAGGUAGCAAUACGCAAGCCAAAAGGUUCAUUCCCUAAAAGAAUCCCUCCCAAUUAUCGAAAGAUUAAUCCUAUUUUUACAUUUUAAAUUGGGUCUUGUGUCUUUUUUGUUGGGUGCUAGAUUCCUUGUGUUAUUUAUUGCUAUUGUCUUAACAUUAAAUGUGUUUGUGAUCUUUCAUUUUCAGCGACCUCCGGAUACAGCUGAAUGUACUCAACUUUAUCAAGGCACUUUGGCAGACAGCUGGCCCAUUUAUAAUGGUUUUGAAUAGGAUGAAAACUUCAGAGAAGGUUUUGGAACAAUUGACAGACGGUGUUUCCCACUUCGUUUCUGGAGAAGCUUGUGCCCCCAAAACUAUUGCUGCGAUGCAGGCUCUAAACUCUGCUUACAAAUAUCUAUCACUCUCAUCCAUGGUGGAAAUAAUGUCAUAUGACAUUUUUCUGCAAAAAAAGAUGCUACAUGGCGAGUCGAUUGUAGAACAACAGACUGGACCAAAGGACAAAGCUCCCGAUGAUGUGAGCAGUGAAAAUUCGAAAUUAUCCAGGAGUCUCUCUGAUGUCAAGAAUAUGUUAUCAGCUGCAUGUGAUGGCUUCCUUUUAGGCAAGCUGACCAAGCUGCUUGCUUCUUGUGAAUUUGAUAAUGAAACAUAUCACCGUGCAAAGGUGGUUUUCGUUCAGUUUAUUUUUAUUUCUAAUAUCUUUAUGUGUUUUCAACAAAACAUCUGUAAUUCUAUCAUACACCAAGUUCUGGUUUCUGUUUUUCUUUCUUUUUAUCUUUUUUUUUACAUUCUGGAAUUCGUCUUCCAUAUAACCUUUUCACCCAAUUUUGCUUUUGGUAGAGCGUAUGUUUCUUAGAGCUCCUUGCUGUAUCUGUCUAUUGAGCUUAACAAGUCGUGUACUUGAUGGUAGGUUGCUUCCAGUUUAUUCAUUGUGCAUGUGAUGUCCAAAUUAGCAACUGGUGACGGGGGAAGCUUGUCAGUUUCAAUGCUCGGGAAGAUCCAUGAACUGUUGCAAAAGGUUGAAUGGCUGUUUGUCUUUCGUCCUCAAAUUAAGGUUUUACAACUGCUUCAGAUCAGUUUCUAAUUGCAGUGAUUUCUCUUGCAGCUUAUCAGUUUGCCUGCUUUUGCAGAAUUAUCAUCACAAUAUUUGCAGCGUGGUUACAGGUAGGAUACUAUUUCUUUUCUUUAUGUUCAUUAUUUGUUUUUAGUUGGCCUUCUAAAUAAUUGUCAUCUUCUAAACUACUAAGGUUUUUUUUAGUCUUUAAUCUGUUUCUAUAUUUUGUACUGGAAUCCUCUUUUGUAAUUGUCUAUUGCUAUCUUCUGAGAGAUGGAGAGAUAAAAUGAGGUUUGUGUGGUAGUUCGAUUUUGUAUGAAGCACACUAUCAUUCUAAUAAAAGAUUCAUAAAUUUGAUUCUUGGAUGAUUACUCUUUGAGGCUAUUGAGGCUACAUCAGUUUGUUAACAGAGCAGUUGUCUAGGCCAACUUUGAUUGUAGUUGGUGGAAGACUGGAAACUCUUGGUGACAUAGAUCGCAAGAGGGGGCUUUGGGUGUUGUGCUUGUUGCCAAACAACCCACAUAUAUUCAGGGGAAUCUUUUAAAAUCAAGAUUAGAAAGAAGAAAAUUGAAGAAAGGAUUAGGAAUCGAGCAAAAUGACUACUUUGAUCCUGUAGCAUUGAAGAAAAUAAAGAAAAGAGUAGGAACCCAAUGUUCAUUGGGAAAACUCACUCAAAGUUCAGAUCAACUAUCAAUUCAAAAACGAAUCAUGGGUGAAUGAGUUCAAAAAAAAAAAUUAAAACUCUACAAAUAAAAGAAUCUUGGUUGGAAUCUUUUCAAAUAGAAAAUCAUGACUUGAAGAAAAUUGAAACAUUUCGAGCAGAGAAGACGUGAUUGAAGAAACGUAGCAUGGGUGAAUGAGUUCAAAAAAAAUUAAAACUCUAAUUUCGAACUUUCAGUCGAUUGCAUGGAAGCUGGAAGGGAAUAAAAAUUUAAUGCCUCAAACGUGGAACUUUUGCAACAUGAUCUGAGGGAAGAAUGAAGAUGAUGAAGUUGGUUGAAGGUGAUGGUAGGCACCGUUAAAGCUUUUCCGAUGAAUGUGGUGUUGUUUGCAACUGGUUGCCAAGUGUGCAUUACAGCUACGAUUUCUUUAGCAAAGAAGAGAUGAAUGUCCGUGCAAUUUUUCAGGCCUUGAAGCUGACCUACCCGACCUGGAUGAAACUCACCUUUUCAUAUUUUUAGCCCAAUCCAACAUGUGACCCAACUCCAAUUGCUGUAGGUUCGACCCAUUCCUUGUCUGGUUUGAUUCAUAAGUUUUUCCUAACCAGCCAAUUUGGAAUCCAUUUCUUGUGAAUCUUUAUUAUUAGAAUGACAAAAGGAGAAAUACUCAUAUUUGUAGAGUUCAUAAUGAGUAGAGGGUAAAACGGAAAUUAACCUAGAUUAACCCAAUUCUUCCUAUAUCGUAUGGGUUUUGGUAAAUUUAAUUAUAUCAACACUUCAACACUCUCCCUCACUUGUAGGCUUGAAAUUUCUAAAUGUGAGAUGAUAUAUAAUUACAUUCGUCUUCAUCCAGCGGCGGAAGCUGAAAAUCCUAGAGCUUCGAUACUAUAUUAAAUCACCUAUUGACCUAAAAGCUUAAGCUAAUGGGUGAAUGUGAAUUUAAUUAUAUAUCAUCUAACACUGUAAAACACAACAAGUAGAAAUUAAUUGGGGAGUAAAUGAUAUUAUAGGGAUUUGAACAUGUUAAAUCACCAAUUGACCGAGCUUAAGCUGAUGGGUCAUAAAUUUAAUUAUAUCAACUCUAACCUAACCAAUCAACUAAAAAGCUACGAUAUUACUAGAGAUCAAUUAGAGAACUUCCUACUCUCAUAGCCUGUGACGUAGGCACUUUACCAUUAGCCGAGGGUCUUUCUUUAUUUUGAUUACUAUUUUCUUUAAUUGACUGGGUGGAGUUUUAUUUUUUAUUUUUUUGUCAAAUCAAGAUUUGUUUUCUUGAUUCUUUAGUUUUAGGUGGCAUAAUGCAUGUAAAUUGGCCGUUCAUUUCAGUAGGCUUGCAGAUUUUAAAUAGCAGCCCUUAUUUUUCAAGGGUUACCUAAAAUUUUAUCUUCAAUCUGCAAGCCUACUGAAAUGAACAGCCAAUUUACAUCUUCAAUGAACCUUCAUUUCACAUGGUAAGUGUGAAAGUGUUGUAAUAUUAAAUUUUGCCUUCACUUAUAAACUUAAGCUUUUAGGUCAUUUAGUGAUUUAAUAUUAAGUUUAAUCUUUUAUCAACACUUCUAUAAAUACCUCUAGCCUUUGUUUUUAACGGAUAAAGCUUGUAAGAAGAGGUCAAUUGCCCCAACAGUAGAGGGAGAGCUUUAUGGUAUCUUCACAUGCAUUUCACUGGACGCCUAUUCUGUUUUAUUUUUGUUUCUCUAUUUUACCACUACUACUACCAUUUAUUUUAUUUAUUCCAUUUUCAUUCCUUUCAUUUAUAAUUUGUUUAUUUUCUUGUGCAGUGGAGGUGAUGAAUUGAACAAUUUGAUUUUGAGCGAUCUUUAUUAUCAUCUACAGGGAGAGCUUGAAGGCCGUAGUAUUGGCUCCGGAGCUUUUAGAGAGCUUUCUCUAUACCUUAUUGAUUCUGAAAUUUUCCAUUUUCACAAACAGAACUAUGAGGAUGAUAUUUUUGUGGCCAUCAAAGAUGCACACUUGUUUGACCUCGUGCACAUACAGGCAGAUUUGGGAUUAGAUCUAUGGGAUUAUUCAGAAUGGAAAGAAUCUAAGUCGAUUGCAGCAAGAAUGCUUAGUUGCAUGGAGGAUGUAAACUCAAUGAUAUUGGUCACCAGAUCAAAGCUUACUGCUUUGAGAGCAUUGAUAACCAUAUUAACUUUGAUGGCCGAUGAUGUAAGUUUGGAGCAUUCUGACAACUUUUUCAUUAAUAGAAACUUGGAGACAAAUAGAAAGAAUAAAAAAAUGUGAACAAAUUAAACUAGCCUUCUGAUCAGACUAGGAUCAUAUCUUUUUGUUCUUUUUUUUUACUAGAUACUAAUUCCUAAAUACAUGAUUUUGUUAGAAAUUUGGUUAUAUCCAUCACAUAAUUAUUGUCCUCUAAAGUCCAAAAAUAGGAUUGCAAUCUUGCAAUUUGCCUUCCUCUCAUUUUAUCGCAUGUUUGUUCCUUUUGUCUUUAAUUUUGAGAAUAAAAGCAUUUCUACACUUUUGCUUUUGAUUAUUUGCUAAUUUGUAUGUUAAAUCUACAUAUGUGCAGACAUUGGAGAAAGAAACUACAAUUAGAAGAAAGAUCAUUGAUCAUCUUGUUAGAUAUUGCAUUGCAGACAUGUGGCAAUAUCUCGACGUGACUAUUGAAUCAUUAGCAUUUGGUUUGGGUGCCUCCAAUUGUGUCCUUUCUUUUCUUACUGCCCAAUUGGAAUUGGUAACUCUUCUUAUCAGAUCUGCAGAUAAAGUUGUGCCUCUGUCUGUUUGUGCACUUAUUUUAAAGACCUCAGGCUCCGGUCUUAAACAGUUGAGUUGCAUCCAACCGGUUGCUGGAGCUCAUAAGACAAUUAAUCUCUUGCUGAAGUUGGUUCUUUCUUCUUUGGAAUGUCAUGAUCUUAAUUCAUUUUCAGAUCGACAACGUAAUCCCGAAUAUGUAAAAGACUUAGCUGAAUUUUCUAAUGUAUUGUUGGGUCUUUUACCUAUAGUAUGUAGCUUUAUCACAAAUGCUGAGCACUGCACCCUGGCUUUGACUACUCUAGACUUGAUACUUAGAAAUUUUUUGUCCUCUGAGACAUGGCUUCCCGUCCUACAAAAGCAUCUUCAGCUGCAACAUCUUUUUCUGAAGCUUCAGGAUGAAAAAAGUUUGUCUUCUGUCCCUGUAUUAAUGAAGUUCUUCUUGACCCUUGCUCGUGUACGGGGGGGUGCUAAUAUGCUCAUAUCAUCUGGUCUCUUGUCAUAUCUUCAGUUGUUGUUUACUCGAUUUUUGGAUGACAGUAUUUGCUCGCAAUCCAACUAUAACAAUCAAAAUCACCAACUAAUUUGGAAACUUGGAUUAGCUGUUAUCACUGCUGUAGUGCAAUCUUUGGGAGAUGGUUCUUAUCUUGAUGUUCUUGAUAAUGUGAUGAACUACUUUUUCUCAGAGAAAGUUUAUCUGAUCUCCUACCAUCUCAAUGCACCAGACUUCUCCCCUGAUGAGCACGACAAGAAAAGGUCACGGACUCAAAGAACUAAAACUUCUCUCUGUGCUCUCAGGGAGACAGAGCAAACUCUCAUGCUGAUGUGCGUGCUAGCAAGACAUAGGAACUCUUGGGCAAAGGCAACUAAAGAAAUUGAUUCCCAGCUGCGUGAGAAAUGCAUACACAUGCUGGCUUUUGUUAGUCGAGUUACUCAUCGCCAUGGAGAAUCUCCUGCAAAGGUUGCUCCUUUCACAUGCCCUCCAAAUCUCAAAGAGGAGUUUGAUCAUUGCAAGAAACCAUCGUUUAUCCAGAGCAAAAGUGGAUGGUUUGCUCUUUCGCCACUCGCUUGCGGAUCAAAAUCCGAGUUCACUGCACCCUCAACGUCUUUGAUAGUCAAGGAUCAAACCACCGAAAAUUCAGAUCCAGUUUGUCCAACACAUUUCUCUGAUACUCUGGCCAUGCAUAUCUAUACAAUUACAUUUCUUCUUUUGAAGUUUUUAUGUCUACAAGCUGAGGGGGCAGCUCAAAAGGCUGAAGAUGUAGGUUAUGUUGACCUCACACAUUUUCCGGAGCUACCAAUGCCUGAAAUUUUACAUGGGUUGCAGGUAUUGCUGUAAUGGCUGCAAAAGCCUAUUAGUAUACUUCAACAUUGGAUUUUUAGUGAUCUGCACUUCAGUUUUUUCUUUCUAUUCUUUGCUAGCACUUGGAAAACGUUAGUGAUUGUCAAGAUCCUGAUGUUUUACCGUGUUUAUGAUACAGGAUCAAGCAAUGGCUAUCAUUUGCGAGCUCUGUGAUACUGAAGCCAAGCAUAUUGAUAUUGAUGUCCAGAAUUUCUGCCGUUUGCUGUUGCAAAUUAUGGAGAUGACACUGUACUUGGAACACUGUGUUGUGCAGAUUUGUGGAAUACGAACCGUAUUAGGCCGAGUGGAAGACUUCUCAAGGGAAGUCAAAUUAUUAUUGAAAGGUAAGAUCUAUUAUUGCACAAUGCAGGUGAUCCUGAUACUAUUUAUUUUUCAAUCUCCUCUGUUGACCCCUCAUUUAAUUAACUGUAGGUGUUGAGGGUCAUGCAUUCUUGAAACAAUCAGUAUAUUCCUUGAAGCAGAUACUGUCGUUUGUCUAUCCUGGCUUGGUGCAGAUUGAAAAGUUGUGAGAACCAAUGUUUUUGAAGCAUAUAGAGAUUUCGAAUUUUCGUCAAAAGAGGCAUGAUUCUCCUACUUCUCUCUUUUUCAAAAGUGAUUUGAGAAAUUGUAGUAACUUUGUAUAUAUUUCGGCGUUUCCCGUAUAGGCAUCUAAUUUCGUUUUAGCUAGAACAGUAGUAGUAAAUCAUUAUGAUGAGAUCAGUAGGGAACAAUGAAAUAGAAUUGUACAAUUUCAACAUAAUUACAAGUGAAUUACUAGAUAAAUGUGGUGGAAAAUAGGGAACAGUGAAAGAAUUCUAAAAAAUUAAAAACUUAUUUGUUAGAAAAAACUUUGGAAAUCAAAGUGGGUAACAAAACACAAAAGUUUGUUAGUAUGAUUUAUAAGCUUAAAAUUUAAAAUUUUGUUAAGAGAUUUAGAAAUAGAAUUCUUGUUUAAGGUCUUGGUUUUGCUCUUUGGGCAUUUCCUGAUAUUUCAGGUAAUGUUCUACACGUUUCUCAGGAUCAAAUCUUGAUCCUGUUGAUUAUUUCUUCCUAAUUGGAAAAACUCUACGUAACUAUUUCACUUGUUUUAUUCUACAUAAGGUCAAGUUGUAUGUUGCUGGGGUUUUCGCUUUUGGUAUCUUAUAUUGAAGUUUUUGUUUGUGGGGUGGUCGUAGGACAUGGCUGUAUGUCAAUCUUAUAGAUUGUAAAUCAAAGGUUUUGUUGAUCUCGACGUUGUGUUCUAGAUCAUUUUGAUGUUUGGUUGAGAAGGGAUUAUCAAACUUAGGGAAGACUAAAUUAAUUAAGUGGAGUCGUCUUCACUUGAAGAUAGAAUGAUUGUAAUUGAAGAAAAGUUUUAAAUCUCUUUAAAAGUUUGUCGCACACUCGUGCUUUAUUGUAUUUGUUGACAUUUACAAAUAAGUAUGACAUUGUAACUCCUUGAUUUCUAUUAGGAAAAGUAUCUUUUCUAGACGAACAAUUUCUAGAUGUAGGUGAUAUAUCAAUGAAUUGGGUUGUCAAACCUUGUGCUUUUGUCUAUUAAAGUUCAUCCGUAUUUCUGCUUGUUUUUCGAAUUGCUGGGGGCAUUGUGAGUUAUUAUUUUUCUUUGGCAUAGAUUAUAUGAAUUUCAAAAUUAAAAUUGAAAAUCAAAUGAUACUUUUGACUUAAUUUUGUGACUAUUUGUUUAGACAGUUAAUAAUUAUUUUGUUUUUGGGUUUUCAGAGUUGAAUUCGUAGACAUAAACAAAAAUAAAUUUUGAAUAUUUGUUUGGAUGUUUUAAAUUACAUAGAUACUGAAGAAGACAUUUAGCCUUGGAUAGUGUUCUUAGGCUGAAUUUUUAGAAAUUGCAUAGUUGUCAAAUGGGUUGUUUUUUUGAAAAUAUAUACUAAGCUUAUAAACGUUGCUUUUACUACUUUUACAUAAUUAACUCCCUAUAAAAAUAAUUUGGAUCUAACACGGGAAAUUGAAACAUGAUUACUAACAAACAGAAUAACAAAGAUAGUGAGAUACAAGUUGGUUGUGUUUGUGGGAAAGAAACUUUAUUAUAUAAAGUGGUAAGUAAUAUAAUAUACAUAAUAACAAUUUUGUGCAAUAUAAUAUACAUAUAGAUUGGUUGUGUAGGUGGAAAAGAAACUUUAUUAUAUAAAUUGGUUAGUAGUUACGAUAAAGUACUCAUAAGUCCCAACUUAGGUUACCGCAAAGUUUGAGAUCCUUUCAAUUCCACGAUAAUGCUUCUUAAGCUUUUUAUAAGAUCUAUUAAAAUAACUUAAUUAAGUUUUUCUAAACGUGAGAUUCUUUUAUCUUCACAAGAAAGUUUUAACAAGAUUUGAUUAUUCUCUCGAUACCAUUAAGAACAUGACCUAUGUUCUCAUCGAUGAUUGAAACAACCCACACACAAAGAAAAAAUAAAUCAUCUCAUGAAAAAAAAAAAAAAAAAGAGAAGACAUGUCAUGAUAAAAAUUGACUAUAUCUUAUAUUCUUUUCAACUACGUCAUAUUACAUAGGAUUAAUUAUAUGUCAUACUCAGAACUAUUUAAGCAUUUUUAAUCACUAUACUAUUUAUAAUUGUUCUUUGUAAUUCUAGGGUUGUAGAUGAUGACUAUAGACUAUAAUUAGUGUCUAUCACAACAUACAUGGAUAACAUGAUCAUAAUCGUAAACAUGUCAAUGAUAUCUUAGUUGAACAUAAAAAGAGUAAUAUCUUAUUUUCUAUAUUUACCAUCUAAGUGUUUUCAAGUUAGGAGAAGAAUAUUAUCAUUGUGUAUCACUAUCGUUAUUUUUUAAAAUCCAACCGAUAUUAUACCUUUUUCUCACUUGUUUUUUCUUUUCCAUUCUUUUGAUUUUCUCUCCUUCAUCAAUCUCCUCCUCCUCGUCGACAAGGUGAAGAUGAAUAUCAUAUUCAACUUCAAGAAAAUGUUGUUCAAAUACAUUGUUAUUAAGAUAAAUAUGAUAUAACUAUCUAUAACUAACAAAAUUUAAUAAAAGUUCAUCACUAACCAGCACUCAAAACCUAUCACUUUCUAUCAUGAACAUCUAGCACUUAUAAACCUUAAGAAAAGAAUCAAACAUUCUCCAUAUGUUUGUGUUGGUAUCUUCAUUAAUUACGCAUCAAACUUGAGCACUUUUUCAUAUACAUUAUACAUAUCUACGCACAAUAACUUGAGAAUUGUUUAUAUAUAUAAAACUAUUCAAAGUUAUAUAAAUCAUGAAUUUCAAAUUCCCACUCUUAAAAAAGAAAAAAAGAAAAGAAGUAGCAAGUAUAAUUUUUAACAGUGUAAUUUAUUUAUUGAAUUAGAAGAUAGAUUAUAUCACCUUUUAAAAUAAGUUGGUUAUAUUUACUCAUACUAUAACAAACCAACUAACAUAAACAAUAACAUAAACAAUAAUUGUAAUUGGUAAUAUUUUUGGAGAGAAUAAACAAAAAUACAAUGACAUUUCAAUUUAGUAAAGGAAAAUAGUCAAAAAUGGGUAAAAUAUUGAAAAAUUGUAAAAAAAUAUAAGACAAAAUAUUUACAUUUAAAAAAUUAUUGUUUAGUAGUUUUGUUGGAUGAGGAUAAAUAAUUUGUCAAUUUUUCUAUAUUUGAAAAAAUUUCUAAAAUAUGUAUCCUUAAUAACAAAUUCAAUUAUAAUGAAUUUUUGUGUUUUGAUGUCGUGUAUUAUUGAUACUUUAUGAUUUAUUAAUAUUGGGUCACAAACGGUUACAAGAGUCUAUCAGUUUUCUAUACUAUGUAUAUAUAUCAUAAUAUUUUGAUUUUGAUGGAUAUAUUUGCAAACUUUUCUAAAUUAAAUUUGUUUCUUUUUUUACUACAAAAUAAGGUUGUUCUUUUUUUAGAUAAUUCAAGGCUGGAUUUUUAGUGUAUUUGGAUUAGAAAGUGUUUAAUUAAAAAAAGUAAAAAAAGAAAAGAAAAAACUAUUUGUGAAAUGUAUUUUAAACAAAUGUUUUAUCUAAACGGAUUUUGUUUGUGAAUUUUUUUAUUUGAAAUAGUUAAUAAUAAUAAUAUGAAAAGAAGAAAUAAUAUUAGAAGAGGUAAAGACGUACACGUCAGUUGAUAAUAUUGGGAAACGAGAUCUCAGCCGUCGGAUGAUAACUCUUUUGUGUCUAUAAAAUUAGGAAAAUAAAAAGGAAAUAGAGAGGCGUUUGUUGCCGCUUAUUUUCGCUGCCAACGAACGCAACAAAACCACACAGCGAAGAAACAAGAUUCUCCGGCCACAAACUCAACCGACGACAUGGCGGCGACUGUCUCACCGUGGGGAAAGCCUGGAGCAUGGGCUUUGGAUGCGGAGGAGCACGAGGCAGAGCUUCUCAAGGACCAGGAGGAACAGUCUCGCCACCAGGAGGAACCCAGUGCUGACUUUCCAUCCCUUGCCGCCGCGGCCGCCACCAAGCCUAAGAAGAAGAAAGGUCAGUCUAUUCCUUUGUCGGAGUUUCAGACUUAUGGGGGUCCAAAGCCGUCCGCUCAAUCCAGUGAUCCGAAGGGUCUUACGGCUGAAGAUCUAAUGAUGCUUCCCACGGGUCCUCGUCAGAGAACGGCGGAGGAAAUGGACCGUAACCGUCUUGGUGGUGGGUUCAAGAGUUGGGGUCAGAAUAGUUUGUAUGACAGGGGGAAUCGGUAUUCUAACUCGGAAGAUUCGCCGAAUUCUCGACGGAGUUCUAGGGUUUUUGAUGAGUCAAGGAGGACUAAUGAUGGAUCUGAUAGAGAAUUCAGAAGGGAAUCGUUACCCUCUAGGGCUGAUGAGAUUGAUGAUUGGGGAGCCGGGAAGAAGCCUAUGGUGGGUAAUGGGUUUGAGAGGAGAGAGAGAGGAGGAGGUGGAGGUUUUUUCGAUUCGCACUCGUCGAAAGCCGAUGAAUCGGAUAGUUGGGUAUCAAGCAAGAGCUUUACACCUUCUGAAGGACGGAGAUCAGGCGGUUUUGACAGAGAGCGAAGAGGAGGAUUUCCCACGAGCGGCGGUGGCGCCGAUUCAGACAAUUGGGGCAGAAAGCCUGAUGGGGCUAGAGGUGGAAUUGGUGAAAAUGGUGGUAGCGCUGAUUCAGAGAAUUGGGGCAAAAGAUCUGAAGGGGUUAGAAGUGGAAUUGGUGAGAGGCCGAGGCUUAAUCUGCAGCCUCGUUCAAUCCCUUUGAACAAUGGUAAUCAGGAGGCUUCUGGUGUUGCAGUAAAGCCAAAGGGGUCUAAUCCUUUUGGAAAUGCAAGACCAAGGGAAGAGGUAUUGGCUGAAAAGGGGCAGGAUUGGAAGAAAAUUGAUGAGCAACUCGAAUCGGUGAAAAUUAAGGACACGGUUGAAAGGGCAGAGACAUCUAGUGGAGCUUCGUUUGAAAGAAAAAAAGGCUUUGGAGCUCGAAGUGGUCGGUCUCCGGAUUCGGGAAGGACUUGGAGGAAGCCGGAGUCUGUGGAGUCUCGUCCCCAAAGGUUUGUGUUUUACUUGAAAACUCUGUUUUUGCUGCUUUUGGUGAGUAGUCUGUGCAUUUGUUUUGUAGUUGUUCCCUUGUAUUUGUUAGUGCGUUAUGGUGCUUUAUAUGUGAUCUUGGUUGUCCUUUGAACAAACUGCUUCAUUUGCUGCUUUUUUUUUCUUCUAGAAUUCAUGUAGAUUUAGACGUAUUAGGCAAACUAAACAAGCAACAUUUGAGAUGGAAAUCAUCAAUUACACAUGUCUGUUGUGUUGAUUACCUAAAUAAACAAGAUAAUUCUUGUAUUUUGCACCUUUAUGAUGAUGCCUUUUCUCUCAUAAUGAUGAUAACAGACGUGUAUGGUUUGAAAGCGAAGAUACCUGUGACCAGUUGAGCUCUGUGUAAAUGAUAGUUUUAGGGGCUUUUUGUUAUCUCUUGGAUCUAAAUGGAAAAUACUUUUCAUAUAACCUGCUUUCGAAGGUUGCUCCUUUUCCCCAUUUUAUCUUGAACUAGAAGCAAUUAACCAUAUCGAUGUAUGUUGAAACUUUGAACUUCUUUUAGCGAUUCUUGCAUGAUCAUGGAGAGAUUAAAAUUGGCAAAUCUGUAUAAUGUAGCUUUGUAUUUUGUCCUUCUAUGAAAAUAUUGAAUCUAUUGGUUGAAUAUUUUGUUCUAGAUCAUGAUGAUUCAGUUAUUUGAUUUGGUGUCUCAGUGCUGAAUUGGUUGAAGAUGGACCUGCUGAGGAAAAUUGAAGAAGCUAUUAUAUGCAACUGAUACCAAAGUUGAACUGAAGUUUGCUGAUAUUCAUUAUUGAAAGCUCUUGAAUUAUUAACUGUGUUCUUCUAUGGUUACUUUGUGAGUUAUUCUCGUCCCCCCCCCCCCCCCCCCCAAAAAAAAAAAAAAAAAAAACAGAUCGAACCAUACAUAUAAAUUUUUUUGUUCUGCGAGUGUUAUUGAUGUGGAUCAAGUACAGGACAUUGUGCAAUUUUGGUAGGUUUAUGGUAGCUGUGCUAAUUAGGCCUUUUUUAUUUGGAUUCAUUUCUACCUCUUGUUGGUGUCCCUGAGAAAUACUGUUUAACUGUACUGUUGUUGUUACUAAAAUCAGUUUUGUGUUUUGUUGAGAAAUUCUUAUGAGUUUCAUUCUGCUUUCUGACCUUGUAUUACUUUACAGAACAAAUUGUGAUAAUUUCUUCUUUCCCAAUCCCCCAACAUAUGUGAUUGCCUAGUCUUUUUAUUUAUAGUUCUGGGGUUAUGCAUUAUUGUCUGAAAGUUGGUUGUUUGAUGAAUUGGAAACAGUGGGAUAUCUUUCUCAUGUCCAGCCUUUUCAGCCUGGCAAUUGUUUCUAUUGCCCUCAAAGUUAUGUCUAAAUUACGAAAGAACCUUGAUCUUUAUAGGUUUCAAAAACAUCCAUAUUCAUACUAGUUACAGUAUUACCCUUGAUUAUUAGUCUAAGUUUCCUAGAUGGGGCUCUCUUCUAACUCUCUUGUAUCCUUAAACAAUUGGUUUAGAAGUAGAAAUCUAUUAGAAUCUUGAAUUGAAAUUAUGACCUAGAAAGAGAUUUAGAAGACUAGUGUUUUGGCUCAAUUUCAGUUCGAAACCUUAAUGAAAGGCUAAAGUAGCCAAAUGCAUUCGUGUUUCGACCAUUUUUUUAUUAGUACAAGUGUACUUAGAGUUGAAAAUUUAGAAAUGCUCUUUUUUCUUUUCAUUUCUCCUUUCUUGAUAAAUGGUGUGUGAUGCUAUAUGUAUGUUUAAUGAUCUGUCAGUUUAAAUGCUUGCUGUCUAUGUUUUCCUUGUCAUGUAUGUACAAGAUUUAUUCGGAAUGGUACAAUCAUACGACUAAUUGAUUUGUAAUUUACUAGUUGUGUUUUUUUUUACCCAGCAGAAGUGAUCAUCAAAUUACUUCUUCAUGGCUCCUGCUGAAAAAGCUUAGUAAGCCGAGCUUUCGGGUGAAAGUACAUGAAUCAUGAAAUAAAUAAGUAAAUUUAGAGAUCAAAAUAACCCUCAUGGGUUGAUCAAGGCAAAAAAACAGUGUUAAAGGGUGGCUGUGCUUAAUCCAGUUUUGUUUAACGUUCAAAUAUUGUAAGAUCACAUAGUAUCACACUAAACUGAUAUUUUAUUAACUAUACCACAUGAAUUAAAGUGAUAUUUUAAUAAACACUCAGUAGAAAAUAGAUAUUGAACUAGUAUUAAUUUAUAAACAAUAAUCAAGACUUUAUUUGAUAUAUUUGAGAUUUGGUGGAUGAUGACUUGUUUGGUGGUGGAAAAUGCAAGUAAAUGGUCAUGAACUAACUUGAUUCUAAUCUUCAAUAUAAUAAAACUAUAUUGGAAUCUAAACCUAUAUGACAGAAUAAUUAGAGGCAAAAGUAAUUGGGAUUAGUCUCUAAGAAUAUGGUGAAACACAUUCUAUUCAUUAUCCAACCAUUUCUGCCUUUUGACACUUCAUAUUCUAUAAUAUUUUAGUGGGGUGUGAUUGUAUUCAUGCAAAGUAGACAAGAAGUGGUUGUGACAAAGGUGAUAUGACAAAAAUUAUCAAAUAAAAGUCUAUAUAUAAAAUUAUAAAGUUUAUGAAUAAUGUGAUUAAUUGUCUUCAAAAACAAUAUAGUACAAAAUAUAAAGAUAACACGUGACUAGCAUAUGGUUUAUAUGGUUCUAUAUGUAACACAUCUCUUAAACCUUAAACGUUGGAACGUCUUGGAUUCACUAUAUGACGCUACAAACAACCCGUGUGGAGCAUAUGUAGUUAUUUACGUUUUGUACUCUAUAGUUUAAACAAGUACUGUAGUAUAUAAACUCUACCCUAAUAACGUCGUAAUGCAUUCUAAAAACAUUCUUUCUAAUGAUAUACGUUCUUCAUUUACCUAUCGACAUAGCUAACACACUUAGUAAACGACAUAUAUUGGUGUGUGUUAGUGGACACUUAUGAACCAAUAAAUUAAGCUAGAGUUUUGACCAUUAGUUUCUUAAAAUUGAAAUAAUUUGGAAAUUAUUCAUAUUUGUAGGAGGGGAAGUAACUAAAAAAUUAGUGAAGGGUUGUGACAGAUUGGCCAACAAUAGUAUUGCCAUAGGCAUGUGUGUAUAUGGGAGUCAUAAAUAUUCUCUCUAAUAUUAGAAAUUGAUUUCAAGAUGUGAAAUAAUGAUAUACCUAAAAAGCUAUAACAUAUUUAUUAAAAUUAAAAGGAUGAGUUUCAGAUAUCUUUUUUUAAGAAAAAAUAAGUUUUUUUUUCUUUUAAGUGAAAGCAUUUUUCUCUAAGAAUACUUUGGAGAAGUACUUAAAAUAUUUUUUAAAAAUAAAAGUUACUUUUAUUCCACUGACCUAACGUAGAAAUCUUUCUAAAAAGAGAGCUAAAAUGACACUCUUUUAUAUAUUUUUAAAAUUUAUCAUAAUCUAUAUGUUAAAGAAAGUUUUAAAAAAGAUUGAGAAUUAGUGUUGAUUUGUUAUAUUUUGUUAAUAUUUUUAAUAUUUGUUAUAUUUGAAAGUAUUUGUUUUAAAUAAUUUAUGUCAUGGAUUAUAUUAGGAAUAAAGGGGUAAAAAUGAAAGACAAAAAAGGAAAAAGUUUAAUAGAGGGAAAAUUCUAAUUUUAUCUCCAAAUUUGUUUUAUGUUAAGUUGUAUAAUUUAUUGUAUCAAAUUGUGCCUUAAAAGUUAAAGUAAAUAUUGUUAUUUUAACCUUAAAAGAAAAAAAAAAUUAUAAGUUUUUGUUUGAAAGAUCAUCCAAAAAAAAGAAAAAAUUAUAGAAUGUGUUUAAUGAAUUAUAUAUAUAUAUAUAUAUAUAUAUAUAUAUAUAUAUAUAUAUAUAUAACAAAUUUGACCUAAGUGAAAAGGAGAUAAGCAUGCAUUAGAAUUAAAUAGGAGGAGGCUAGACGAUUUUAAUUUUUUUCGUUUCUUUUCUAACUAAUACAUGGAAUUAGAGAACCAAACCUUUGAUAUGUCGAAAUCAAUUGGUAUAAAUUUUAUGUCAAUGAAACAAUAUUCAAUCAACUUAAUUACAUAUUAGUUAACCGAAAGUAAAAGAAUAUAAUACAAUUACUUUAUAGAUGAUGAUGUAUCAAAAGAUGUUUGACUAAUUGUAUCAAAAAGAAAAGAAUAAAGGAACUAGAGAAAAGAAAGUAAAAAGGAAAAAAAAUGCCUAACAAGAAUGAUAUAUUCAACAUAUCUCCACACUGAUAUGAUAUCGAUCUAACUACUUUAAACAUAGUCUUGUGAAUUUAUGUUUCUCCUUUCAUCUCAAAACGAUUAGUACAAAAAUAAAUGUAAUUAUUUUUAUUUGUUUACACGUUAUCAUAUUCUCAUCUAAUUGACUAAUUUGGUCACAUUUUCAAUAAUCUUUUUAUUGAACAAAGGAUCACUAAACCUUAUUUUCAACCGUCUAUAUCUAACUAACUUCGGUAUGAUAAAGUUCAACUACAAAUCACACCAUGAUUAUUUCUAAGGGUAAAAUUGACGUAAGGAUCAACGGUACCAAAAGAAAAUUAAACUCAAAAAAUUUCAUCACCAAAUUGCAACCUAAACUAAAUCUAAUGAAUCAAAAGUGUGAAUUUUUUUCUAAAAUCGUUAACUAUUGUAUGAAACAAAACUGCCAUUUCUCAACCCCUACAAGAUUCUACUUUUAUUUUAUUUUUUGAGAAAGAAAAGUUGGAUCCAUUCUUUUUUAUAUAUAAAUAAAUUAUCAAGUUUUUCUUUUCUUUUGUUUCUCUAUCUUUUUUUAAUAGGGUAAAUUAUGAAGAUUUGUAGUUAUAUGAUUAUUUAACUCUUACAUUAGGAAGAGGUUUUUCUUUUUCUUUUCUUUAUUUUUGGUAAUCAUGUGGAACCAAAGAAUCAAACAUGUAAGUAAAAGUUGUAGAAAGUUCAUAAAAAGAAAUUAAUCACUACUCAUUUUUAUUUUUUAUUAUCACUACGAAAAAAGCAAUUUUCAGAGACAAAACAAAGCUGUUGAAAGAUAGUGCAUCGAGAGAAACUACAUCUACUAACAGAUUAUAGCAAGCGUCGAGAGUAAGACAUAACUCUUGUACCAACGGUGUCAAGAUUUAGUUGGAAAAAAAUUGUAGGGGAGCUCCCGACCCGAGCAUCGAGAGUUCUCGCCUAACUCUCAACAUCAUUAACCUGAAAAAUAGGGUUUAACUUUCAGGUCUCAUUUCUUUUCACAACUUUAACCCUAAUCUUUCACUCUUCAUCUCCCUCACAACGCCACCGCCUUUCUCUUGCAGACCAACCCCAAACCACUCCAUCUUUUUCUUUUCGUCAUUGCCAUUGUUGCCACUCCCUACGUCUUCAUCUCUGUCACGACCUCUUCCUCCAUGGUAUUGUUGUUUUUCUAUUUGUUUUUUCUUUACAUGUUUCAUUUAUACAUUAAUGAUGAGAAAGAGGCGAAGAUUGAAGCAAAUUCGGUUGAGUUUUGCCAAGAAACCAUAAGUUCAAGCGAGUUUCAUCAAGUUCUUACAUCUCAUGUUUGGCGUUGCAGACCUACGUUUGGCAUUGCAUUUGACAUUGAUGGUGUGCUUCUCCGUGACAAUGCUCCCAUGGGAGGCUCUCCACAAGCUCUCAGAAAGUUAUAUGACGAUUUUCUUUUUUUUUUUGUAGCUCAACUACGUUAAAAUGUUUAUUUUUCUCUUCCUGAUCUCUUCUAAUGUCGUAUCUUUGUUUUUUUCUUGGCAAGUGUAUUAAGGAUUCAUUUUAUCUUCUUGACAAAUGGUAAAUUUUUAUAUUUUACUCUCGUUUUUAGCUUGAUGUGUUGGAAUUAACUAGGGGUUGUUCAAUGAUAUCAUUGUUUAAAUUUAUGGUGUACUAAUAGCUCGUUGUAGAAUGACUGGUUGUUAUCCAUUUAUAUUUUUUAUUUCUAUUUUGUUUGUCAAAUAGUUAAUUACAGCAUCGUUGAUCAUGAAAUUUUCUUUGCAAUAGUGGAUAGAAAUGGCUUGUAAAAUGAAUUCAUCCUCCAUUGGUUGUAGAUAAGUUUUUGAUCUUGUCACGAUUAUGAUCUUUUUACCAUUCUUGAAAUCGUUCCUUUUUCCUUUCUUAUUAAGUAAGAACACAUUUUUUUUAUAUAUAUAAUCAAAAGUAGCUACUUUAUUUUCCUCUAUUUUACAUCUUUCAAGACCUCUCUUUUGUUUUCAAUGGAUAAGCUAUUUUGAGUUAGAAAAAAUAAAUGGGUAGAUUCAAAUGUAAUUGUUAAACUUUGUAGUUAUAGCUUUAAUUAUAUUAUAUGUUGUUUGGAUUGCAUUUUCUUGUUUGUUAUGUGGCCGAGAUGACACCUUAGAUGUUCUUUUGCUUAAGAUUUAGAUGAUAAUGUUGCUCUAAAUUUUUUUUGGAUUAAAUUUGAUCGUUUUAAUUUAGACUAAUUUUGGACUCGUUUUAGCAAAGAUUCUAGUCUUUGGAACCGUUUAAAUUUCAUUUGUAGUUUUGUCUAACUUUUAGUGUAGAGUUUUCUUUGAUAUAUUCUUAAUAUAUAUUGGUUAUGCUUGCAAAUUGUUAUUAAUUGUUACUAAUGUCACAAUUUAACUAUAUUAUUGUAGGUAAUUAAUUUGAUGCCUUAGAAGUACCUUUGGGAGUCACAAAGCUACAUGUAAAUUAAACACUUAUCUUGUAGUAUAUAUGUAAACAUUAUUAUUUACUACAUCUAUAUCCUUGUUUAAUGUAACAACAGUCUUAAUGUAAAUAAAACACUUCUCUAUUGCUUACUUUUUUAUUGUAUGUGAAAACUUUUCCUUUAUUUAAUUAUUAUUGAUUUUUGUGCUCUAUAAAUUUUAGGUUUGGAAGAUGAAAAGUUAAAAGAAUAAUCAAGUUAAUAAUGAAUAUUCAAAGAAAAAUUAAGAAUCUCAUACCAUUAAACACCUCGUUGGGAUUAAAAUAACUUCUGACAUCGGUUGAUACCCCAUCAGAAGUUCAAGGAAUAUCAACCGACAUUGGAAAUUCCUCUUCAUGACGGAGAUUUUCCAACUACACUCCCAACUGACAACAUCGAAAAAGAAUCUUGGAUCCUUAUAAUUUAUAGGUUUUUGGUCAUUUUCCAACGAUUGUAAGUGUCCGGAGAUCACUUUUUCUUUUUGUAGUAUAUCUUUGGAUCCCUUAUCAUUUAGAUUUUUUUUUUCGGCCGCUGGUGUUUGAAAUUCCUUAGAGCAUAUAUAGACACAUUUUGGUGACAUGAUCUAAACAUACUCUAUUUUGAAAAAUAUUUAUUCCAGAUUCUUUUUAUUAAUUACUUGGUUUGCUAUUCGUGAUUGUUUACAAACAUGUAAUAGUAUUAAUUAGUUCGUAGGUUCGUGCAAUUUCUAAGAUUUGUGUGUUGUGCUCAAGUGAAAUUCGAAAAAAGUAUUUGGGCCAGGAUGCAUGGGAUACAAAUAUAUCACUUGAGUGAAAAUAAUCGGUUGAGACGUAAGGUUUGGUGUGAAACCUUUGUGUCAUAGUGCUACCAGCGUAGCUUUACAAGCGUGAAGCUUUUAUUGGAAGGACUCAAGGUGUGGUUAUUCUCUUCAAGACCUCUUUUGUAAGGUUUUGUCUUCUUUUGGUGUUUUAGUUUCUCUUAGUCCAUUUUACCUCAUUUUUCUCUACUGUUUGUCUUAACCUUAUUUGAUAUAAUAUCUUAUAAUGAAGAAUGUAUGUCCCUUUGGCCUUUCCAAUAUUUUUCAUCAUCUCAACAUGCCCCUUUAAAAGAUGAUCCAUCUAUGGGUUCACCAAUUUUAAUCAAAUCUCAAUUUCAUUUUUUGGAUUGAAUAUUCAUUUAGAUUUUAUGGAUUCAAAUAUCAUAUAAAUUUCAUCUCAAAAUCAAUUGAUAAUAAGGGAAGUAAAAUUUUUUUUACUAAAAAUUGCAGUUCAAUCCAUCUGAAGCAAAAAGAAAAGAAAGUAUAUAUUAUUUAUACAUUAAAUUACAUUUAGGUUGAUAAUAUUUGUAGAAAAAUAAGAGAGACUUAUAAAUUUCCUUUUUUGGAAAUACAAAUUAAAAAUAUAGAAAAAAUAUUUACAAUUAUUUGGUACUCAAUAAUGUAAAACUAUAUAUUUAUAGGCUUUAAACAUGAGCUUUUUAGACCUCUGUGUUUUAUUGUAACAUUAUUUUUAAAUUAUUCAAUUUCAUAAUAAGUCAAUAGAUUUUUAAACAAUUUUGUUUCUUACUCAAAUAAAUUUAAAAUCAUAUAUUCAUAUUUUUAUAUUGGUACAUGUGGUAGGUUUUCUUCACCUGCCAUCAUUAACUAUUUUUAACACAUAUAAUAUUACAUUUUCAAGUUUUUUUUUAAGUGUUGAAAAAUAUGGUUUAAUCAUACCUAUUUAGUCUCAGUUUUUUUUAAAAAAUUAAAAAUUCAUGAAAUAAUAUUAUAUAUUUUAAUUUUAAAUAAUUACGUGUCAUUUUAAAUCAAAUCUACUUUUAAGGCCUUGAGAACUAAAAAGGUAUUGUUUAAAAUUUAGGACUAAAAAGAUAAUUUUUCUCCUCUUUAAUUAACUCUAUAACAUAUUAUAAUAUUUAAUUAAUAAUUAAGAGUUUGAAAUGAUAAAGUUAUAUAAAUUCAAUUUUUUUUUAAACAAAAAAUGGGUAUGUUGAUUUAUUAUACACUUUGGAUAAAUAAUUUCAAAAUUCAAGUUAAUUCAAAAAUAUAUUUUGUAAUUAUUUUGGAUUUUUUUUCAUAUGCUUUUUCACCAUUUCUUUGCAAUAGUUUUCUUUUUCAUUUUUUUUUCUAUUAGAAACCUAUGAAGUCUUGAUAAAGUACAAAAGUAAAAUAAAAAAUGUAAAUUACUUUUUAGUUUCAAAACAUGCCAAGAAUUUUGAAAAUGUGGUAGGGAAAUAAACAACAAACAAAUAAAUGCAUAGGUGAUGGCAGUAUGUAAGUUUUAUGUUUAAAAAACUAAAUGAUAAUAAAAAUGGAUAACAGUUUUGAAAAAAUUUACUUUUGUUUUUGAAAUCUCAAAUGAUACAAGAAUAAAGAAACAAAUACACAACUUUAUAAGAUUUUUUUUUAUAUCAACGACCAUUAGACCAACUUAUACGUACCUCGACUAAUUUUAUGAAAUAACUUACUCGACUUUAUAACAACUUUAGAAGGGUAUAAUGUUUAAAUUUGAUCUUAAAAAUUGAUAAACUAAUCCAAAAUGAAAAAUUUUUAAUAGAAAAAAGUUGAGAAAAAUAGUUUUUUUUGAUAAACUAAUCCAAAAUGAAAAAUUUUGGAGUUUUAAACUUUUGAGUUUUAAUUAAUGCAUUAACUUUUCAUGAAUGAAUUAGAAACAAAUUUCAAAACUCAAAAGUAAAAAUCUAACAUUUUUGAAUAUUUAAAACUCAAACAAUUCCAUAACAACUCUCAGUAAAUUAAUCUGGAAACAACCUACAAAAUCUAAACCAAAUUUCUUUUUCUUUUUUCAAAAACUCUAAUGUAAAAUUUGAAUGGGUAUGAGUGUCCAAAUUUUUUUUGGGUGUCUUUCUUUGUUAGGACUUAAUAACCUAUCAAAUCAACACCAAAAGGUCACGUUAAUAUCAAAAAUUUAAUUAAUAUGUCCUUUUUAAGGGGACAUGUAAAUCUAAUUAAAAUUAAAUAGAGAAAUAGAGAAAUAGAGAAAUAGAGAAACAGAAAUAAUCAAAUAUUAACCAACCCUCCCAUUAAUUUGGGCAGUUGAAAGUUGAAUUUUGAAAGGUUCUUUUUUUCGCAUUGGCUUCAUUAAAUUUCCUCUGACGCUUUUGUUAUAAAUACAACAUUUUCAUCUCUAUUUUUCAACCAUCUCUUAAAUUCUCUCUUUCCCAUGGAUCUUCUCUUCAAGUUCAAGCUCUGUUUUCUUGUCGCAUCUCUUCUUUCCGCCACCACCGCGUAUGGAGCAGCCAUCAUCUCUGGCACUGUCUUUUGUGAUCAGUGUAAAGAUGGCCAAAUAUCUUUCUUCGAUUUCGAUCUUCCCGUCAAUGGUAUGAUCAUUAAGUUUACGUAAACGGUUAUAGUAUUUUAGUGUACUUUGAAGAUAUUUACUAAGUAAAAAGUUUAAUCGUUGCAGGAGUUAAAGUUACGUUAGCUUGUGGGGAUGGAAAAGGAGGAUUUUUUAAUGUGAGAGACGACGUCACAAAUUUUUUAGGAAGCUUUGUGAUGAAAGUGGAUGGAACGCCUGAUCUUAGGGGUUGCACUGCGAAGGUUAGUGGAGCCGCACCGGGAUCGAGGACAAACUGUACCGUACCUGGUAGCCCGCCAAGGAGUCUUAAGUUGGUGUUUAGGUUGUUGAACCUGGAAAUGUAUUCGCUUGUUGGUCCUUUGGUAUCUCAACCUGCUCAACCAAAGCCGUUUUGUAGUCGUCAUGUUCCGGUUCCUGGGCCGAAACCACCAUCUCCACCUUCUCUGCCGCCCAUUCCAAAACUGCCGCCACUUCCGCCACUUCCCCAAUUGCCGCCACUUCCCCAAUUGCCGCCACUUCCGCCGCUUCCAUCGUUUCCACCGCCGAUGCGUCAGAUGCCGCAUAUGCCGUACUUGGAAGCUUCUUCUGCUUGCCAACAUGAGUAAGUGAAGUUUACAUUGGUUGUGUUAAUUAUAUUAUUGUUAUAUGUUCGUUAAAGAAUAUGGACGAAAUUUGUUUUCAGGAAUUGGACAAACCCAGAUUACAAAUGCUAUUGGAGGGCAGUGAACCCAGACACAAAGGUAGCCGUUGUUUUUGGAGUAAUAGCAGCGAAGCGAUACGGAACAGACCUGACCCUAGAGAAGGGACUACAAGGACGAGGGGACCCUUAUAAGACCCUUUUAAGGGAAGCCAUAACAGCGCUUCUUAAUUCCUAUAAUUCCCUUCAUUUCCCCUACCCUCCACUCUCUGUUGUCAAACACUUUAACUGGGCCUUAUUGAGCUCUCAACGCUCCGUCCUCCUCACUGCCCUUCACUUCAAACAUGCCAACUCCGGCGGAUACAGCCACGUCUCCUGUAAAUUCGAGCGUUGCAAGUGACGGUCACCAUCGUACAAAAUUUACCAUUUUAGUUUCCCAAGUUUUGGUUUUGAAAAAUAAGUUUGUUUGGUUAGAUUUUCUAGUUUCCAAGUUUUGAGAAAUAAGUUUCUUUGGUAGGUAGAUUCUAGAAUGUGUACUCUUGAUCUCAAUUUUUUAUGAAUAAGAGCAUCCGGUUCACAUAUCUUUCUUGGCUUUCAGUAUUUUUUAUUUCUUAAAUUAAACUAUAGAUCUUUUCUUUCUAUUUUUUUUUAAAAAAAUUUAAACAUCAUAUACUUUUUAAAAAUAAUUAAGAAGAUUAUUUCGAUGAUCCUCUAGACCUAUUCUUGAAAAUUUAGGAAUUAAAAACUUGAUAACUAUACAUCUUAAAAACUAAACACACAUUUUUUAAAAAAUUUAGAGACUAAAAAUGUAUGUUUUUUCUAAAAAAAAUAUAUGAUAUUUCAUUUCUGCUAUUAUUCAUGGAUUAUUACUAUGUAAGAUCUUGAUUCUCAUUUCAUUUGGUAAAAUUUGUGGAGUUUUUUAUUCAAAUUUGAGCUCAUCCUAUACGGACAAUCUAUGAACGUAUGGAAUUAUCUGAUGGUAAUAACUUUUCUCUCUUAGUGGAUAUGUUUUGUUUGAGCUGAGAAGGUUGAUUUGAGUUGGGCAUUUCAUAUGUACUGUAUUGAGAAGUUACCCUUAAAAGUGGUUCCUCCAAAAUACACUUUUAUGUGUGCUUUCGAAAUAUGAAAUCAACAUUAUUAUUUGUAGCUAUUGUGAAGUUCAUAAUCACCUAAUAAACUUAUCAUAAAAUUAUUGUUGGAUAAUGACUCUUUCUAAAGAGUAGCAUCCUCUCAUGAAUCAUAAUUAAUAAACUUGAAAAAGAGAUUAAGUAUAUUGUAAUGAUCAUAAAUUAAUCAAUAAAUGUAUUUUUUUUCCUUCAAAUUACCUUUAAAAGAUAAUCAUUAGGGCUCUUCUCAUAUGAAGCUUAAAAUUAAGUUAGUUGAGUUUGUAAAGUGAAUAAAAUUGUCUUAAACAGAUAAUGUAAAUUCAUUCCACUCCUAUUUUCUUAUGUAUAUAUACAUGGUUUUAUGUUUUCUAAUUUUAUGUAAUGUUAAUCUUAUAACAAAUAUUGCUAUACGGUCUAUUUGAUUCAUGCAUUUCUCUUUAUCAUUUAGAGAUUGAGUUGAAUUUUUAGCUUUAACUUUUAGCCCACCAACUUCACAAAUUUAUUUUAAAUAAAUGACGACCACCUCUAAUGUCCAACUCUAAUGAUAAACUCUAGGAACCAUCUUCCAACUAGACUUUUUGGAUAUGCUUUGACAACCACCUCUCUCAUCAAACUCAACAACCACCUCUAACAACGCCUAGUUUUGGGGCUACCUCUAUUAAAAACUAUCUUUUAUAAUCAUCUUCAAUGUCCAAUGUCAUACCAGUCUUACCUCUUUACUUGUAUGCUAUUAGUUCACGGUGUUUAGUAUACUAUAGUCUUCUAAUAUAGUAGUUUAUAUUGAGAUACUUUACUUUAUAUUUUAAGAUUUUCUAAUGGGGUUAAUAACUCGUCUUCAUACAAACUUAUAUACAUUAGUUCGAUGUAGUAACAGGGUCAUAAAGAAAAUAUAGAAAGGAAAAACAAAAUUUUCUUUAGUACAACAAUCGUCAGGAUAGAAAAUGAAUAAAACUAUAAUUAUAUUAUAAAAAAGUUAUCUCAAUUACCGCUAAACUAAGUAGUUAUAUAUAUAUAUAUAUAUAUAUAAUUAAGUUAAUCUUUGGGUAAAAGUUAAUAAUAGAGUUUGCUAUUAUUAAAACAUUUGAAAUUUCUAUUCAAACGUGUGAAAAUAUUUACAAGAUAAUAUAUAGUCUUAUAAUAUAUAUUAUAAUAUAUAUAUAUAUAUAUAUAUAUUAAGUACAAAUAGGAGUGAGGAUUUCAACCUCUUAGAUACUUUAAAAGCAAAAUACAAAGUUUAACAAUAAUUUAUAUAAUUUAUCCACGUUAAAUAAACAAGAUCCAUUGGAUCACCAACCUUGCUUCCACCAUAAUUAAUACAUUAAACUAAAUUUCUUCUUCUUCUUUAGAAUUUGUUUUCUGUGCAAGCAAGAUUUUAAAAAAUUAUAAUGGAAAUAGAUCAGUACGAUGUAGUUUCAAAUUCUUUAAUUGAAAUAAAAAGAAAUUCGACGACGCCAUUCAAACCCCAUGAGAAAACAGAGUCACACAUCAUUUAGACCUACCCAGAGAAAUCUCCCGAUGAAGGAAUUUCAACUAUCUCUACCCGCGGUAAUCUCGCUGUUGAUCGCCGUCGGAAUCAGCGCAGUCAGUCAAAUCAAUGGACAUAAUUUCACGUUUGAAGAAGCAACAAUCGAGGAGAUCCAGAGAGCUUUUGCCGAUGAAAGGCUCACAUCGAGAAUGUUAGUCGAUUUCUAUUUAAAACAAAUCGAAGCUCUAAAUCCGGUGCUUAGGAGCGUGGUGGAGGUGAAUCCGGAGGCUAGGGAUGACGCGGACAGGGCGGACCGGCGGCGGAGAGAGGGGAAUGUGAAACGGUUGUCGCUUGGAGGACUCGACGGCGUGCCGGUGCUGGUGAAGGACACUAUUGCGACGAAAGAUAGGAUGAACACGACGGCUGGAUCGUACGCAUUGGUGGGAUCGGUGGUGGCUCGGGACGCCGGCGUGGUUGAGAAGCUGAGGAAAGCUGGGGCGGUGAUUUUGGGGAAAGCGAGUCUCACUGAGUGGUACUCGUUUCGGUCCUUGGGUCACGUGCCCAAUGGGUGGUGCGCACGUUCCGGUCAAGGAGUGGUGAGUUCUUUCAAACAAAAGUAAAUAAAUAAAUGUAAUUGGUUUCGUUUUAGUUCCUAAAUAAUUUUAAUUUUUUAACUAAGUUAUAACAAAAUUUUGGAUUCUAUAAUAGUGGUUAUGACUGUCAUCAAUAUUGAUAGAAAUUAAAAUUUUUGUAAAUUUUAUAAAUUUUGUAAUAUGUUGUAAACAUUUUGUCAAAUUUGCUAUUUUUUAUAAUUUUUUAAAAAAAAUCCAUUUUAAUAAUUUAAAUAAAUAAAUUGUAAUAAUAUUUUUUGAAAAAUUGUAAAAGCCACUAUGAUGUCACAGUAGUUAUAUCUAAUUGCACUCUAAAUAUUGUAUAAAUGUUAAAUUAGACCCUCAAACUUAUAAUAAUUAUAGAAAUUGGAUUUCCAUGUAAUGGAUUUAGAGAUUCAAAUGUAUUCAACUGUUACCGUUUUUACUGUUAUAUAAGUUUUGAUGGUCUAAUUUUAGUACAUGUAUAAUUUUUUUACUUAAUUUUUACCGUUGAAAAUUUGAAGGGUAUAUAUUGCCAACGACUGUCCAUCUUGUUUUUACAAUUUGCACAAUUUUUUUUGUCAAUAAAUAUAUUAAAUGUCCAUUGAUGAUAAUCAUAUAGUUUUCUUGUUUUCACCUACUUUUUUUUUUAAAUCUUUGUUCAAGUAAUCCAAUAAAAUAUUUUCAUGUAGUAGUUAUUUUUAAAAACAAAUUAUUAUUUUAAAAUAUUUAACAAACGAAUGUUAAUAAAACCUAAAAUUUUACUCUAAUAUAUAUAUAUAUAUAUAUAUAUAUAUAUAUAUUCAACUAUUUAAUCAUUUAAGCUAUUUUUUCUUUAUUUAUUAUUAUUAUUUUGUGGGUAAGGAAAGAAACGAAUAGAUUGAAGCGUAGGUGUACUUAAUCAUGACUCAAAUUCUAAUACAAGCUGGUGUUCGUGAAACGAUGUAGAAUCCUUAUUUGGCUUCUGGUGAGACCUGCGGGUCGAGCAGUGGCUCAGCCAUUUCUGUUGCUGCUAACAUGGUAACCGUCUCACUCGGUACAGAAACUCAUGGCUCCAUUCUCUGCCCCUCCGAUCGGAACUCCGUUGUAGGAUUCAAACCGACAGUUGGCCUCACUACCCGAGCUGGAGUCAUUCCCAUCAUGUCUCACCACGACACCGUCGGGUAAGUCCAUACUUAGUCAGAAAUGUUCACGAACAAGAGAAAAAUCUUAAUAUUUGAAAUUGCAUAUCUAUAGGCCUAUAACGAGGACAGUGUCGGAUGCAGUUUAUGUGCUUGAUGCCAUUGUUGGUUAUGAUCCAAGAGAUGCUGAAGUCACAAGGCAAGGCUCCAAGUUUAUACCACAAGGUGGAUAUAAACAAUUUCUAAAUCCCAAUGGAUCAAAAGGGAAAAGAAUUGGAGUUGUUAGAACCCCAUUUGCUGAUAAGUUCCCUUCAAUGCAAGUUUUUGAGAAUCAUCUUCAUACCUUAAGGUAAACAAUCUUUGAAAAUUAGUUUAUGUAUAAUGGUUUUCAUCGUUCAUGAGUAAAUGUUUGAAUUCAAUACAAGUUUCAAAAAGCUACCUUUGUUUCUUUUUUUUAGUUUUCAAAACUUUGGUUGAGUUUAAAACCGUUCCUAAAAGUUUAUAAUGAAACAAAUAAAUCAAGAUGUAGAUGUAGCGUGUAUAAGCUUAAAAUUAAAUAGAGUUGUAACAAGGUGUAAUUAUUUUAUUUUAUUAAAUUUUGUAGGGAAAAAGGUGGUGUUAUAGUGGACGAUCUUGAAAUUGCUGAUAUAGAUACAAUAUUGAGCUCCAAAAGGAGUGGUGAACUAACAGUUAUGUUGGCUGAUUUCAAGCUUUUGCUAAAUGAUUAUUUGAAAGAGCUCAUAAGUUCCCCAGUCAGAUCACUUGCAGAUAUUAUUGCCUUCAACAACAACCACCCUCAAUUGGUGAGAACUUUCUCAAUUCUUUUUCAAAUAUUCACAAUCACUCCCAAGUGGUUUUUUUCCGAACAAAAACAAAGUUACUUUCUCCCUCUACUGAUUUAUGAAUGUUGCUAACUCACUUUAGAUUUCUUUGUUUCAAAAAAAGAAAAAAACUAAGUUUUCCUGUCAAAUUGCUGGUGUAUUACUUAAUUUCCCUCUACUUGCUUUGCUCAUGGAUGUAGCUAACACAUUCUUAUUGAAAUUCAUAAAUUCAUCAAUCUUCCUUGUUUACAUGUUGUUCACUUCCUUUGUUUUUUUAAUUUUAUAACAGAUUUCUUUAUUAUCUUUUUUAGGAUGAGUCAAGUUUUGAAAUUUAGUAAAAAAGUCUUUUUUUUAAUUAGAAAAGAAAAAAGAUAAUUCAAGUGUUUUGUUAGGAAAGGUGAAGGCUCUAUUUAGAUUUGAAAAAAAAAAAAGAUAACUCAAUUGUUUUGUUAGGAAUGAUGAAAGGUCUAUUUAGAUUGAUUUUUCAAAUGCAUAAACUCAAAAACCAUAACAAAUGAGUUGAAAGACUAAGAGGGGUUAUCAAAGAGCUUAAAUACAGUUUGACGUAAUGAUUUAGUUCUCUUUUGUUCUCUCAUGCAGGAGAAAAUCAAAGAAUACGGACAAUCAACUUUCAUUCAAUCAGAGAAAACAAAUGGGUUAGGGGAGAAAGAAAAGAAGGCAAUCGAAACGAUGGCAAAUCUAUCGCGAAAUGGAUUCGAGAAGUUAAUGAAAGAAAAUGAGUUGGAUGUAAUCGUCACACCGGGUUCUGGCUGCAUUUCCGUUCUGGCGAUCGGAGGAUACCCUGGAAUUACUGUCCCAGCAGGAUAUGACAAAGACGAUGGUAUGCCAUUUGGGAUCUGUUUUGGAGGCUUGAAGGGCACAGAGCCAAAGCUUAUUGAGAUUGCUUAUGCUUUUGAGCAAGCCACUAUGAUGCGAAGGCCUCCAUUUUCAAAUUCAAUAGAUUAUCAAGUUUCACACAGCAACAUUUGAGGAUCUUUUUAGUUUGUUUUGAGAGAGGUUUGAAUGCAAAAAAAUACUACGAGUGUAUCUAAUGAUGUAUCUCUAUUUAAUAUAUCUUUUUCUUGUUUUUUUGAUUGAAGGAGAUACAUACUUAUAAGUAUAGCUUAGAUAACACUCUAAACUUAUAAAAUUUUGAGAAUUGUGAAGUUCUAUAGUGCAAGUAGUUGAUAAAAUAUAAAAUUAAUAUUUUUUAGCCGUGAAAUCCAUAAAUUCUUUAGGCCAAAUAAGAAGUUGAGUUCCUAACUUCAUACUUCUAAAAUCUUUUGGUCAAAUACACCUAAAAUGUUUUGAAACUAUUUUUUUAGUGCAAAAUUAGAUAAUUUCUCAAUAUGUCAUAGUUUUGGACUAUUUCAAUUAGUUUCUUUCUUCCCUGUAUUUGUUAAAUUAUUUAUUUAGUUUAAGAAAUUAAAAAGAUGUCUAAUAAAUAUUUUAACUUCUACCGUAUAUGUCUCUAAUACAUUUUAAAUAACUUAACCGUUAUAGUUAAAAUGUUGAAAUAUAGUGAUCUCAUGCAUAAAAAAUUUCAUUAAAAUAUUUACAAACCGUAGAUGGUAUAGACUAGAUUAAUACUUAUAAACUUAAAAUUCAUGAACUAAAUCUUAGCUCAUUAUAAAAUUCAUCAACAAUAAUGAUAAUUCAUGGAAAUUUAGACAUCCAAGGUAUUUUUUAUUCUUUGUUUGUAGAGAAAAUUCAACCUCAAGCCUCAAAAAAAAAAAAAUUGCUAAAUAAAAUAUUGGUGGGUUAUAAUUUUUUUUUUUUCUAAAGGGAAUAUUUUGAUUAAUUGAUAAUUCUCAAAUAACAGUUUAAAAACUAUUCGACCUUAUCUCGAUUUCAAAUGUUUGGUUAUUUCAAGUAUAGCUGAAAAUUUCGUCCAAACACACUUGAUCACAUCACUGCUUAAAUUAAUGAUUAAAGUAUCAAUCUACCGACAACAGACUCUUUCUAAGCAUUAAAAUAUUCUUCAUUCCAAAAAAGAUGUUUCCUUUAACGAGUGGAGCAUAUAAAAUUUGACGAAUACGUUGUUGAAAGGACCUAUCCGAUUCCUAGUUGACUGACCAAAGAAAAAAAAGCUGGUUCAUCACCUGUGCUCCUAUGGCUGGCCAAAGCUUUCUCCUUGAUAUAUCCAUGCUUCUUGGUUUGAUGGCGAUUUUAUCAUCAUGUGGGAGUUGUAGCUUUCACACUGAACUUUCCCUUGAAGAAGCAACUUUGAAAGAUCUCCAACGUGCUUUCUAUCAAAACAAACUCACCUCCAGGCAACUUGUCGAGUUUUACCUCGAACAAGUGCGUAGACUUAACCCCAUCCUAAAAGGGAUUAUAGAAGUGAAUCCAGAUGCUUUAGACCAAGCCUCUCGAGCUGACCUCGAGCGCAAGAAAAGCUCACCAAGAUCUUUGUCUCCACUUCAUGGCAUUCCUGUACUUGUAAAAGAUAACAUUGCAACCAAGGAUAAGCUCAACACAACCGCUGGCUCUUUUGCUCUACUUGGCUCUGUUGUUCCUCGUGAUGCAGGUGUGGUUACUAAGUUGAGGAUGGCAGGUGCAAUCAUAUUUGGAAAAGCGAGCCUGAGCGAGUGGUCUUACUUCAGGUCCAAUGCACUUCCCAGUGGUUGGAGCGCUAGGGGUGGCCAAGGCAAGGUGUGUAACUUUUCCAACUUCAAUAAUUGUCUGUUUCUGAAAGAGGAAGAUUAUCACUUUAGAUAACGCGGAGUUUCAUUUCAAAAUCAAUUGAUGAUAAUGAGCAACUUACAACUUAGUUUAUCUAUCUUAAAAAUAUUUCGAGGUUCUUUCAUUUUUUCAGGAAAUACACAAUAUAUCUAUUAAGAUGGAGUUACUUUUGAGUGUUGGAGAUAUAAAGAAUCCCAUGUUAAAAAAACCAAGAAAAUUUUCACUCCAUAUAAUAUAGAUGAGCUACUCUUUUUGCAUUGAGUGUUCUUGGACUGGAUACCGAGUUUUAUUUUUAGACCAUGUCAAGUCACCUAUUGAUCGCCUAAAAGCUUACAGUUGAUAAAUUCAAUUAUACCAAUACUUAUAUAUCUCUCACGAUUGAAUAAAAGAAGAUUUUGAGCUGUUGACAUACUCAGAUUCAGCAAACAGAGUGAUUUAAGUUCAAAAUAUCUCUAAGUAAGCUAGACUGUCCAAUUAAAAGAAAAGAGAUUUGUUUUGAAUCAACAACAAACUAAAGAUCACCCAUAUGCGCCAUAUGUUUGCAGAAUCCUUACACAAUGGGAGAACCGUGUGGCUCCAGCAGCGGCUCUGCCAUAUCUGUUGCAGCAAAUAUGGUUACAGUUUCACUGGGAACCGAAACUGAUGGAUCAAUAUUAUGCCCUUCUACUCUCAACUCAGUAGUUGGCAUUAAACCCACAGUAGGUCUCACCAGUAGAGCAGGGGUCGUUCCGAUCUCUUCGAGGCAGGACACUGUCGGGUAAUCAAUUUGUCAUCAUUGAAAUUUUCCCAUUUAUAUUUGUAUCCAAAGGAAGUACUUUCUGCUGAAUGAGUGAUGAUGAAACAGGCCUAUUUGUAGAACAGUGUCAGAUGCGGCUUAUGUUCUAGAAGCCAUUGUAGGAGCGGAUAGAUAUGACAAUUCAACAAUUGAAGCAUCAAAAUACAUUCCAAAAGGAGGAUAUGGCCAAUUUCUAAGGGCUGGUGGGCUGAAAGGAAAGAGAAUAGGAAUUGUGAGGGAAUUCUAUGAUUUUGGUCCUGAUGACACUUUCUACACUCAAGCUUAUGAGAAAGUCGUCAAAACCUUGAAGUAAGAAAGCAAUCUCACUUUUCAUAAACCAUCUUUUUUUUAUAUAAUUAUGUUAGAGGUUUUUAUCUGACCCUUUGUCAUCAAUAACAUGAAAGGAAAGGAGGAGCAAUAUUGGUGGACAAUCUGAUGAUAGACAACCUAGAGCAAAUCUUUGACGGUUCAAGUGGGGAACAGAUUGCAUUGCUUGCCGAAUUCAAAAUAUCCUUAAAUGCCUAUCUCAAAGAGCUAGUUGCUUCUCCAAUUCGAUCCUUGUCAGAUGCAAUAGAAUUCAACAAAAAGAACUCAAAACUUGUGAGCGACUAUCAUCUAUUCUGUUCUAAUUUUACAAAAUCCGCACAACACAAAAGGCAAACUAUCAUAACAAUGAAAUCUUAUCACUAUGUAGGAAAAUCUAGAGUAUGGUCAGGAGGAAUUUCUAAAAGCAGAAGCCACAAAUGGAAUCGGAGAUGCAGAAAAGGCAGCAUUAGCCAGAUUAGCAAAACUGUCAAAAGAUGGAUUUGAGAGACUGAUGAUUAAGAAUAAGCUUGAUGCAGUAGCAGCUCCUGGUUCGCUAAUAUCUCCUGUUUUUGCAAUUGGAGGUUUUCCUGGAGUUAGUGUACCAGCUGGAUAUGACCCUCAAGGGAAUCCCUAUGGUAUCUGCUUUGGAGGAUUAAAAGGAUUCGAGCCAAGGCUGAUAGAGAUUGCAUAUGGAUUUGAGCGUUUGACUAAGAGUAGAAAGCCCCCUUCAAUUAAGAGACAAUAAAUUAUCCAUCUAUGGAUGAAAUCUUAAGGUUUGCCAGAAGCUAUUAGACUUGUAAUGUUUAAUCCUUGUGAUGAAACUACAUGUUUCAACAAGUAAUAAAAUGAUUUCCUUAAUUUAAAUACAAAACUUCUAAGAUAUUAACUGACAAUAUUUAACGUAGGUGUAGAAAGAAAGCCCUGCUGCUAAACCUGUUUGUUGAGAAAAUGAAAUCGAUGGAAAAAUAUAGAUGUUAGGGAAGAAAAUCAAUGUCUCAAUGUUUGUUUAACGUUAAACAAAGAGAAUGUGAGAGCGAAAUCCAAAGGUUGUGUUACUCAAAAUGCGGUACCCAAAAUUGUGAUACACAAAAUGUUGUAUAACAAAUGUGAUACUAAAAAAUGUUGAACUGAAGGCAUUCACUCUACUAUGAAUUUCCAUCCUAUUGAUAUGAAUUCACUUUUAACGCAUUGCAUUGGUAAAUUGGAUUCAAAGACUGGGUUGGAAUUAUCUUCAAUGGUAUAGUGAUAUAACAAUCUUCAUGAAAGGCAGACCAGUGGUGAAUCCAAGUUGUGAUUAACUUUCCAGUUCAAUACAAACUGUAAUGGAACCUAACCCAGAUUACAAAUCUGAUACAUAACGAGAUUUCAUUAUACCAUUCCUAAUUAGAAGAGACAAUUAAAUUGCAAGAACAAUGGGCUUCAAUGAUGCAAUAUGAGAAUCAAGAACAAAGUCGACAAUAGCCUAUAUCAGGGAAUUGAUAAUAAUACUGUUUCAGAGAGAAAUGAAAAAGAAGCUGGAAAUUACCAGGACGAUAUAUCAAUAUUAUCCUUCUUUAUGAUUUUUUCUCUCUUUUGUCCAACCAGUCUUCGUCAUUCUCUCUGGCUUCCUCUUCUUUCGUCUUCACGCACGAGCUCUCUCCAACUUCCUCUUCUUUCGUCUUCACGCACGAGCUCUCUCCAACUUCCUCUUCUACUCCAGCACAGCAUGCAUGGGCAAGAAACUUCUUCGAGAGAGACUUAAAGAUGGGUGGUGGGAGAGUGAGACCAACUGAAGAUGGGCGAGAGUGACACCAAGCGAGAGAGACUGAGAGAAGAGUGACACCAACAUGCAAGACUAAGAGAGAUUGAGCCAGACGGAGACAAAGGAGAUUGCUUCUUCCCCAUGCACGUGAGUGUAUUUUGGUCAGCAAAGGAUCAUUCAACAUUUUAAAAAAUAAAAAUGAAUUAUUUUCCUUCCAAUUUUUGGAUCAUCACAAAUUCGACUCUUUUUUCAUUUCACUUCUAAUUGCUCACUUUAUUUUAUUUAAAAAUCAUUUCAAGAUCCUACCAUUAGCAAAAAUGUUAUCAUGAUAACAUUAGAAACGUGAAGUCUCCAAUUUAAAAAAAUAUGAAUAUUGGUGAAAAUUUUAAAGACUGCAGGAAAGUUCAUGAAAAUUGUUUCAAUUAGUUAAUUGUUAGUUAGUUGUAGCAAAUAUAGAUUUAGAUUGUAGUUCAAGAACAACUUUUAAUUAUCCUUUCUUUAUCUAUUUUGAUGGUUAUAGACUCAUAGAACAUGUCAAAUAAUUUCACAUUUAAUCAUUAGAUAAAAAAUAAUUAAUUAUGUAAAGUGAGAUUUUAGCUUCUUAUUGAAUUUCCUCGUAUAGAAAAACUAGAGAACUACUUCAAAACUAAAGAACUACGUAAUGGUUAGUUGAAUUAUGUAAUUAAACUAUGACGACUUUUAUUAUUUUAAAAAAAUCGUAGUUAGAGGCUUGUCAUUAGCGUACUCUUAAUUCACAACCUAAAUCUAUCGAUGGUUGACAAUUAGAUUUCGAUCACAAUACACUACUAACAUAACAUGUAUUCUAUGAUAUAUUUCAAAUGUCUUUUUCUUACUUCAGUUUUGUUUUCUCAAUGACUCAAGAAAAUAUUAAAAAUAAUUCCAUGCAAUUUUUUUUCAAAGUAACUAUAAAAAUUAGCGUGGAAAACUCUUUACUAAAAUAGUUAUGUGUAAAAGAAAUAUAGCUAAAUUUGUUAAUUUUAACUUCUAAUUUAACUAAAGUUUUAACUAAGAGUCAUAGGAAAGUCUAUAAAUACCGUGUAUUACUUUGAUAUUUGAUGAUGACAAAAACUGAACUUAAAUAAUAUCUUGUUCCCAAACACAAUGGACAUAGGCACUUGCCAAAACACUUUAAAAUCAUGUGUGUUCAUCUUCUCCUUCUACUUCUCUUCAUCUCACCAUCUCCUAAAAGAAACUCAAACAACUAAACCUAGAAAAAUACAGGAAAGAAAGAAAGGAGAAGAAAGCUUGGAGAACUCUUAUUAAUCUUCUGUAAUCCAAAAUCACACACAAAGUGAAAAGCAAGAGAAAUUGAAAGACCGUGGAGAGAGAACCCAUAAUUACAUGAAGAUAGGUGGUUUCUUUGUGUCCACACACGUGACUUCCACUACAACUAGAAAUAAUUAAACUACUUCAUGGGACCCAGAAAUGAUAUAUUGGAAGAAUCUUUUGGCUCUUCCAAUAUCAAUAGGUUGAUUGUUUUGCUCAUGUAUCUUCCAACUAGUUUCGUUCAAGUAACGGAUUCUAGCCAAUUGAAAAGAUCUUCUGAUCAACGAUAUAUAACUGAAGCUUAAAACAUACCUAGUAAUAGAUUUCUACACUAUUUUAUUAGUAGUGUUAUCAAUGAUAUGAAGAUAGAGUAUCAAAUAUAUACUCUAUCAUCCAAACAAUCUAUGAAUGAUAUAAUUUUACCAACGAUAGAUUUACAUAUUGUGUCAUAUUAAAUCUAUCAAUCAAAAAAGUUUAUUACUACUAAUAACAAAAUCUAUUAUUUUAUAUACUCUUGGAGAUAAAUGUAAAUUGUAUUAUAUCUCUAAUUUUUUAGAUUUUACUAUAUUUUUAUAUUUGCAAAUGCCCUAAUUUUUCUUCUAUUUCCAAAAGUUUUGGUUAAUUAUCUCAUAAAAGCAUUUUUCUUUUCUUUUUUAUAAUCUAUCUCUAGAAAAAAGAAAAAAAAAAAACCUAUAAAAAUGAUUUGUAAUAGUAGUAGUGAGUGUAGUUAUCAAUAUAAACCAAGGAUAGAAGCAAUUCCUAAUCAAAGACUCGAGAGUCAAAACAUACUUUUUCUAGAAUUUCAUUUGGGUGUGUCUCUUGAAGAAAAAAUCAUUUUUGGUCAUUGCUAACACUACAAAUUUUAGAUAAAUGAUAUUUUUAAAAAUGGCACACAUAUAUUAGCAUACUUCAACUUGACAUGAAUCUUCUUAUUAGGCCAUGAAUCUUCAACUCAAAGUUAAAAGUUUUGAUCUCCAUAAAAAAAAAUGGGUCUAAGAAUUAAAGUGUUCUUGAUUCUCAAAAAGAUAUUUCCACAAAGGAGUGGAGCAUACUCCACUUGAUCGUUGACUGAUAAAAUAAACAGAUUCACGAACUAAGCUCCCAUGGCUGCCCAAAGCUUUCCCAUUUACAUAUCCAUGCUUCUGGGUUUGUUGGCAAUUUUAUCAUCAUAUGGGAGUUGUAGCUUUGACACCAACUUUUCCAUUGAAGAAGCAACUUUGAAAGACCUCCAACUUGCUUUCUACCAAAACAAACUCACCUCAACGCAACUUGUUGAGUUUUACCUCGAACAAGUGCGUAGAUUUAACCCCAUCCUGAAUGGGAUCAUAGAAGUGAAUCCAGAUGCUUUAAACCAAGCCUCUCAAGCCGACCUUGAGCGCAAGAGAAGCUCACCGAGAUCUUUGUCUCCACUUCAUGGCAUUCCUGUACUUGUAAAAGAUAACAUUGCAACCAAGGAUCAGCUCAACACAACGGCUGGCUCUUUUGCUCUGCUUGGCUCUAUUGUUCCUCGUGAUGCAGGUGUGGUGACUAAGUUAAGGAAGGCAGGUGCAAUUAUCUUUGGGAAAGCGAGCCUGAGUGAGUGGUCCGAUUUCAGGUCCUAUGAACAGCCCAAUGGUUGGAGCGCUAGGGGUGGCCAAGGGAAGGUGUGCAACUUUUCCAAAUUCUUCAAUAAUUGUCUGCUUCUAAGUGAAAUCACACAAAAACGAAUCUGUAGCACACAGUAGGACGUUACAUGUCAAAAUAUAUUUUAAAUAAUAGGAUGAUUACAGAAGAUUUUGAAAGUGUAGAACUACUCAGAUUCUGCCAAUAAACAAUCCUUUCAAGUUUUUAACUAAAAAUAUCUCGUUAAUAUCAGCCUCUAAGCUAUCUUUUUCUAAAAAAUCAAUCAAUUAGAGAGUCCAAUUAAAAAACAGCAAAAAUUAGAUUUAAAUCCACAACAAACUAAGAGCAGUACAUAUGUUUGCAGAAUCCUUACACAAUGGGAGAACCGUGUGGCUCAAGUAGCGGCUCUGCCAUAUCCGUUGCAGCAAAUAUGGUUACAGUUUCCCUGGGAACCGAAACUGAUGGAUCAAUAUUGUGCCCUUCUACUCUCAACUCAGUAGUUGGCAUCAAACCCACAGUAGGUCUCACAAGUCGAGCAGGGGUCGUUCCGAUCUCUUUGAGGCAGGACACUGUAGGGUAAUCAAUUUGUUUCUGAUGAAUUGUUGCUAUUUAUUUAAGUAUCCAAAGGAAGUAUUUUCUGCUGAAUGAGUUAUGAUGGAACAGGCCUAUUUGUAGAACAGUAGCAGAUGCAGCUUAUGUUCUAGAUGCCAUUGCGGGACCAGACAGAUAUGAUAAUUCAACAAUUGAAGCAUCAAAAUAUGUUCCAAAAGGUGGAUAUGGUCAAUUUCUAAAGGAAGAUGGGCUGAAAGGAAAGAGAAUAGGAAUCGUGAGAAAAUUGUAUGAUUUUGGCCAUGAUGAUGUGUUCUACAUUGGAGCUUUUGAGAAAGUUUUCAAAACCCUGAAGUAAGAAAUCAAACUCACUUUUCAUAAACCAUUUCUUAAUAACUCAUGUUAGAGGUUUUUAACCAACUCUUUUGUCUUCAAUAACAUGAAAGGCAAGGAGGAGCAAUAUUGGUAGACAAUUUGACGAUCAACAGCUUUCAUGUAAUCACUGGCAGUUCAAGUGGAGAGUGGACUGCAGUGCUUGCUGAGUUCAAAAUAUCUAUAAAUGUAUACCUCAAACAGCUAGUUGCAUCUCCAAUUCGAUCCCUGUCAGAUGCAAUAGAAUUCAACAGAAAGAACUCAAAACUUGUGAGCAAUUAUCAUCUAUUAUGUUCUAAUUUUACAAUCAACAUAGCAAAAAGCGGACUAUCAUAACAUUGCAAUCUUGUCAUAAGUAGGAAAAGCUAAAGGAGUAUGGUCAGGAGUUAUUUCUAGAAGCAGAGGCAACAAAAGGAAUCGGAGGUGCAGAAAAGGCAGCAUUAGCCAGAUUAGCAAAACUGUCGAAAGAGGGAUUUGAGAGAUUGAUGAUUAAGAAUAAGCUUGAUGCAAUAGCAGCUCCUGGUCGGUUAAUCUCUCAUUUUCUUGCAAUUGGAGGUUUUCCUGGAGUUAGUGUACCAGCUGGAUAUAACCCUCAAGGGCUUCCCUUUGGCAUUGGCUUUGGAGGAUUAAAAGGGUUCGAGCCAAGGUUGAUAGAGAUUGCAUAUGGGUUUGAGCAUUUGACUAUGGGUAGAAAGUCCCCUUCACUUGGGAGACAUUAAAAGUGAUUCAACCACGGAUGAAAUUUUUUAGGACAGACUUUGAUAAGUUUACCAGAAGCAAUUAGAAUGGCAAUUGUUUAUCUUUAUGAUAAAGCUACACGCUUCAAUAAGUAGUAAAAUGUUUCCAUUAAUUUAAUACAUUCUCUUUUGAUAUUUUGGCACGUGAAAUGAACUGUACACUUGUUUAACUUGUCCAGAGGUUCUGUAGAAAGAACGACAUGCUCCAGUGAGUUAGCCAGCAAUGCAAUACGUAGCCUAAUGGUUCAAGAUUUACUGACCAAACAUUCAUUCAUCUACAAGCACUGAACAAGCAUCAACACUGUCUUUCACAACAACCAUCCCCCCUUGAGAUAAAAAACUAAUUUUAUUAUUCAAAUCGCUUAAAAAGAAACAACAUCUAUCUGUGGAGUUCAGGGUACUCAACAGCCACACAAUUCUUCCUCAUUCCAAACUUCAUUAUGGCUAAUUUCUCUAACUCUAGAUGAAGAAAGGAAGCCCUGCUAGUAAACCUGUUCUGCAUAACCUCUAACCAUCUUUUACAAUUAUGAGAAUUGAUCAUCAUUGAUCCUUCGUUCGUUUCUAAUGAACCUAGAUAUGUAUAAUUAAUAUGUUUCCCGAUCCAUAUGGAUCGUCUGCCAACAAAAUGCUGUUCUAUAUUGAAAGAGCCUUCAGCUAAAUCAAUAUCUCAUGCCCAUUAGUGUCUUUCCUAAAUUAUGCUCAGAUUGACCAACCUUUUUUCUUAUAACCAAAAUGAUAUUCAUUAUAUAAAUCCAUUUUCUCUACAAUGCAUUUCCAUCUUAUUAAGACAAAUUCACUUUUAACGCAUUUGCAUUUGCAUUGGUAAAAUGGAUUCAAAGACUGAGUUGGAAUUGACUUUCAACGGUAAUAUUGAUAUAGAAAACUCCAUGAAAGGAAGGCCAGAGGUGAAUCCAAGCUAUUGUUAACUUUCCAUUUCAAAAUAAACAUAAUUCAUAUUACAAAUAUAACAAAUUACAAAACUUCAUUACCAUUCCUAAUCAGCAGAUACAAUUAAAUUGCAAGAACCAUCGGUUUCAAUCACGCAGUAUAAGAAUCAAGAACCAGUUCCACAACAUUCAAUAUCAGGAAAAUGACAAGGAACAUGGAGAUUACCAAGCUAGCGAUGGGGGUUCUCGUCCUCUUCCUCUCCGCCAUAUCUGCGCGUUCCGAGUACUACUCCAAAACUGUCCCAAGGGUUCAGUUAAAGGAGAAGGUAACCAAUCUCCAUUUCUUCCUUUUCGACAUCCUGAGCGGGAAAAAACCCAGCGCCGUCGAAGUAGCGCAUGCAAACAUAACCAUAGGCGAGCAGUCAGCGACUCCAUUCGGCAGCGUCUACGCCGUCGACGACCCGCUCCGGGAAGGACCCGACCCGGAAUCAAAAGUAAUCGGAAACGCGCGUGGGCUGUACGUAUCGGCAAGCCAAGGCGCAGACUUGUGCUUGGCGAUGUAUAUUGAUUACGGAUUCACAACGGGGCCGUUCAACGGAAGCUCGAUCAGCGUGUUUUCGAGGAAUCCGGUGACGGAGCAGCGACGGGAGGUGGCGGUUGUGGGCGGGAGAGGGAAGUUUAAGAUGGCUAGAGGGUUUGCAAAGCUGAAGACGCAUUACUUGAAUGUCAGUAAUGGCGAUGCGAUUAUAGAGUAUAAUGUUACUGUGUUUCAUUACUAAAUUGGAGAAGAAAGGAGCAGUUGGAUUUUGAUUUGUGAUUUUGAGGAUAGUGACAUUUUUAAUAAAUUGGUUCAUCAUAUCAGCAUUAAGGGGUGAUUCAUACGAAUCUAAAAUGAUACAAAUUAUAAAGAUUGAAUGAAAAGUGAUUUUCUUUUUAAAUUAUCCAAAUUUUAAGUGGAUUAAAAGUGGUCUAUCAUUUGCAUUUACUAACUCCUCCAUCAAUACUAUUGGCGCUUGCAACUCAAAACCUUACUUUCAUGCACAAUAUUUUAUAUUUCAUACUUUAUGCUUUAUGCCUUGUGUUUUAUAUGUUAUAUAUUAGAUUUUCGUUUAUCCUUCUUUAUCCUCAAUGCUAAUAAUCGUGUUUAAUACUCAAUGUUCAAUACUUAUACUUUAUAUAUUUUGACACUUGAUGCUCAAUACUAAAAUAAACAUACAAAAAAAUGAAGAGUAGAAAUGCAAAAUAAAAAGAGAAACGGAAGAAGAAAUCCAUAUUAAGGAUGCAAAUGAAAAAAGUGUAAAAACCAAACAAAUGUAAAAUAAAACUACACAAAAAAAUCAUAAAAUAAGAAAAAAAACAAAAAUAUCGGUAUUGUCAAAAUAGCAAAAUAUUGAAACUACUUAUAAAAUAUAGGAAAAUUCAUUAAACUCCCAUUUAAGUUACUUUUACUUAUAAUAAAAAAAUUUAAAAGAAUUUAGAAAAAAAUUACAACACAAAGGGAAGAGGAAGAAAACAUUUAAAGCUAAAAUGAUAAUUUUACAUAGGAACUACAUAAGCAAAAUGCCAAUUUUCAUUGGUUUUAAAAAAGUACCUAUUUUUCAUUCGAGCCUUUAUUUCCCAACAUCAAGGUCCUAUUCUUAUAUUAACAUAUAUAACAAAAGAGAUGGUGACAAAUAUAGCAAUUAGAUUCAAAAUAUUAACAUAUAUAACAACUUUUUUAAAAAUAGCAAAUAUAACAAAAUCGGUUAAAAUCUAUUAACGAUAUAAGUUUAUCACUUAUAGACCAUAUUGUAAAAUAUGAGUCUAGUCACUGAUAGACUAUAAACCAUAAAUCCUAAACGAUAGAAGUUUAUCAUCAAUAUUGACAAAUUUUGCUAUAUUGUCAAUUUUUUAAAUGUUGUUAUACACUUAAUUAUUAUUUCUAAAAUUACUAUAAAUUAUAAUUACCCUAUAAUAAAUAUGAGAAAUUCAUGAUUCUAAUAUCUAACACUAACAAUAUCUAUAAUAAUAUCAAUAAUAGCGAGUGGGUCCAUGUAAAUGUCAAAUUGAUUGAGCAUCUUUAAUUCCUCGAUCAAUUACAAUAUUUAAUUACAAAAAUUUGACCCUAUUUUUAGUUCUAUCAUAUGCACAGCCUUGUUCUUUACAAUCAUGAGUCGGAAAAAUGUCAUCAAAUUCUAGAAUGUCUCUAUUGAAUCAUGUCAAGGGUUUAAAGUAACAUUUUGGUUAGCUUAAACUCAACACAGAUAUGAACUUGCUUUUAAGUAGUUAAUAUUUUUAACUAUAAAACUACUUUUUUUUCUUUUUUUUUUUUUUUUGGCUCUCCUACAAGAGUCAUAGUAAAGAUUGUUAAUAGUUGAGUGAGUUCGUUGCUUUCAUUAUCAAUAAUAUUUUUCUUAUUUCUUAGAUUAAGUCUUACAUACAUAUUGUGAAGCAUUAUCUUUUCUUUUUUCAAUAUCUUUUUGUGUAAAUUUUUGUAUGUUAUUAAUAGUAUGUAUACUAAAGUCAUUGUUAGUCAUGACAACCUCUUUUAAAAAUGCUAUUAAAUAUUACUUGAUCAAAGAAAAAAAGUUUAUAAGUAUGAGCAAAGAAAAUAGGUGCUACCAACAAAAAAAAAAAAAAAAAUUGUUGCAACUAUGCUUAUGCAAUCGAGGUGGUACGUCAAUAAAAAUAUGUCAUGUGGCUAGAUUUUUUUUAUUAUAUAAGAAAAUAGAUUGUACAUUUUCUAAAUGAAUUACGUUAAACUUAAAGAUAUUACGAAAUAUAAUACAUUAGUUUAGGGUUUAAGAUCGAAGGUUUAAUUAGUGUUUAGAAUGUAUACUGAUUCUUCACGUCAAACACACCCUCUAGAAGGUGAAUAAUUUUCUAAAUGAAUGAAGUAUUUUUGCAAUUAAUUUGGACAAACAACCCUACCUCAUUUUUCCAAAAUUGGAAUAAUAGGUGAACUACCAUAAUAUUUUUGGGACCCUACCCCUUUACCAAAUUGAAACUAUUUUCUUGUUGAGUUGAGUUGUUGUUCUUACACUUUUUCCAUGAUUCCAAUUUUCUUGUUUCAAUAACUAUGAUCCAUAUAUAGUCAACCAUAUAAAAAUAUUAUAAUGCCUUGUAAUAUAAUAAUGAAGAGUCUAAAGGAUCUUUUGCCUAAAAUAAACAAAUAAUAGAAAGUAACCUUUUUGAUUGAAAAAUUAUAUAUGUGUUUGACCAUUUUAAGAUAUCUAUUUAUUUGUAUUUCUCGUCAUAAAUCUAAUCUUAUGUAUUUCUCAAUUUUUUAGUACAUCCCUUAAGUUGUGUUGAUAGAAAAAGAAAAUAAGUUAGAUUUUAUAAUUAACAGAAUAUAAUUAUUAAGUUACAAAACUCUAGUUUAGGCAAUUGCUGGUGGUAAACAAAAGUACAUUUGAAGCAUAUGUUCAACUUCUAUAAUUUUGAUCAUCUAAAAAAAAGUAGUUUUUUUUUUUUUUACGCCAUUUGAACUGUUGGUAGAAAGGUCGAAAAAAUCAGAUAUGACUAUGCCAACACCAAAAUGGACUAAUGUUGAGAAUUUCAUUCACCCCAUCUAAUGGUCAUUGUGUAAGUGCAACGUCUUGAUGGUUUUAGAAAAGGAAAUGAAUGAACCGAGAUCAUAUAUGAAUGAGAGUCAUCUUCAAGGUACGUAGAAUUUUUUGAAUGCUCAUUGAAUUAGAAGCCAAGUUCGACAGUAGUUAAAUGUGCUUAGCUUGAAACCCCAAAUGCUUGGAUGACUUCUUGUUUUUUUUAAAAAAAAAAGAAACACGUGAAUGAAGACAAUACAAUGCAAAAGAACACAUGUUGGGUUGUGAUAAUAACUCUCGUUCAUUCUUAAAAUUAUCAUCAAUCAAAUCGCAGAGGACAUCGAUCAAAAGAAUGUGGAUAUUUGCAAAUGCCUUUUCUUGUAACAAUACUAAAUAUCAUUUAAGCUAUACUCACUUUUUUCGGUUAUCAUCUUUUCACGAAGAUGUUAAAAGCUUAUGAAAAAGAAAUCCAAAUAUGGAAGAACUUCUCUAAUAUGGAAAAGGGAAAAACUUUGCUUCCUCUUCCAUAUUUGGAACCUCAAAUGGAAAAAUAAAAAACCUUCCAUUUCGAGAAUUAAACUUCCAAAUUCAUUUAUGUAUUCCACAUUUGAAAGAAGAAAGAUAUAUAUUCUAUCCUUUCCUAUUUGGAAAAUCCAAAUAUAUGUAAGAAAUUUUACUAUAUGUAGAAGAAUUUGGACAAUGAAAGUUGAUAUAGUUUUAAUUCCUUCCCCUUCUUACAUAUCCUCAUAUAAACUAAUAUAAACUAAUUAAUCUUACAUGUCACUAAACUAUGAAACCGAAAUACCAACUAAUUGCUCCAUAGCUUGUUAAUGAUCUAAAAAUUUGUAGUUUGAUUCUUUCUAUACGUUCAUAAACAAAUUAAUUGCCACAUCUCUAACAUUAAUUAGUAUAAUUCUUUGCUUUUUUGAAAACAACAUAUAUAAGAGAAAAGCAAGAAAUUUAAACUUAUCGUAUGUAACGCCCCAAGUUUAGGAUUCGGAAUUCAAAUCUCCAAUUUGGCAACAUCAUUCUUAGUUGUCUUAAAGACUUACUAGAGUGAAAGUUGAUGUCAUCCUCACUAACCAACACAAGCCACGAGUUCGUUCAACAUGUUUUUUCCUCAUUAAUCACAUGCAUAAAGUAUGAUGCACUUUGUUGUUAUGGAUAGUAACUUUUAUUUCUUUCCUCAAGAUCCCCUUCAUUCAAAGUGUGAUAUCAGUUCAUUCAUACAUACUAGCUUUUGUUUAGUUAGUUUCGAACCACAUCUUACUGGAAGAGGUUUCACUUCGAUACGACCAUCUGAUGCCCCAAGCCCACCCAUGAUUUGAACUAGAAUUCAGGAUUCUCAAUAUCCCCUAUAUCCCCUGCGACCUAACCCAAGAGAUUACCCAACUUAAAAUUAUUUCGAGCUAAGCAUACUUAACUUUGAGUUUCUAUGGUCGAGCAAUCGAAAAGAAAUGUGUACCUUAUUAGCUAGUAUAGGUAUUAACUCUUAAUUUUAAUUUAAGUCUUUCUUAAGUUUAGUUUCAUGUGUUUAGAGACGAUAUGAAAUAAUUCAUAUUAUGAAUUACAAUAUCACUGUCUAUGGACUCUAUCUUUCUUUCUUUCUCAAAACAAAAUGAAUUGUUAUGUAAUAUUUAUAUCACCUUUUUAACAAAUGCUACCAUAUCAUAUCUAAAUUAAUUUCCUUAAAUUUAGUUACAUUAAUUAAAACCUAAAAUUAAUAAUGGAACAGUUAGAAACUAUUAUAUUCAAUUUGAAUAAACAUCAUAAUUUUAUAAGAAAUCGAUUUGAACGAAAAAUUUGUUAAUGCAUCAUUUCUAAUCGUUCAAUCUACAAACUAAAGGUUUGAAGAAAGUUGCAUACAUAUAAGAAAUUUGUUAAAUCAAUCUUAAUAAAUGGUCUAAAAUCACUUUUCUAUAACAAUUUAAAACUUAAAUAGAAUACUCACCCACACAUUUAUAAUAAUUCCAAAAACGCCCUUUCUUUUUAUGAACUUUUUGGUCAAUUCUCACUAUAAAACCCCACCCUCACCCCAUCGUCUUCUCCAUCUCACGACUCUUUCUUCUCCACAAACAACACAGAGAGUAAAAAUCUUUAUUCCUCACCAAAAAAACAAUGGCAAAUCUUUCUGUAUCAUUCUCCUUCAUCCUCCUAAUCGCAACCCUCCCAUGGAUUCAAAGCCUAAACCCAAAAAAACCCGUAAUCUCAAGACACGUUUCUCAAAAACAAACCGUCACCAACAUCCAAUUCUACUUCCACGACACCGUCAGCGGGAAAACCCCCUCCGCCAUCAAGGUCGCCGAGGCCCCAACCUCCAGCAAAUCUCCGACCCUCUUCGGCGCCUUGUUCAUCGCCGACGACCCUUUGACAGAAUCACCCGACCCUAAGUCCAAGGAGGUGGGUCGGGCGCAGGGGCUGUACGGAUCCGCAGGGCAGCAGGAACUGGGCCUAUUGAUGGCAUUAACCUACGAGUUUACGGCCGGCAAGUUCAAAGGCAGUUCCGUUGUUGUUUUGGGGAAGAAUUCGGUGAUGCAUACCGUUCGUGAGUUGCCAAUCGUUGGAGGGACGGGAGUUUUCCGAUUCGCUCGUGGGUAUGCAGAGGCGAGGACAUAUUGGCUUAACAGUGUUGGUGAUGCCAUUGUUGGUUAUAAUGUAACAGUUAUACACUAAGAUAAAUCCCCAUUUGCAACGAUAAUAUACUAAUUGUUCUUCUCCUAUUUAUGAUCAAGAAAUUAUUAGAGAAUAUCUAAAAUCAUAGGAUCUAUAUUAAACAUAUUAUUAAGCUAAGAUACAACUGUAGACUAUAAUGUUUUAGGUACAUGUGUACUACAUCCCAAUAAUCUUUUCUUUGGUCUAAUGGUCCCUUAGUUGAUUUUCACACAUGCAGUUGUCUCAUGGGGUUCAAAUAUUAGCUAACAAACCCAAUACUUUUUUGUUUUACUAUGUUCUUCACAAUUAAGAGGAGGGAGUGAUUCCAUUCAAACCUAUAAAGUUUAAAUAACUUUAUGAUAGACUUUCAAUAUUUAAGUUUGUUUUGCUACACUUGAAAAUAUUUCAAUGAAAUUAUUAAACUUUCAAAUAUGUCAUAACAAUCAUAUAUAUAUAUAGAGAAUGGUAAAAUUAAUGGGGUUGGUGAUUGCUAAAAAAAUGAGAAGACAGAUGAUGCUAAUACCAAAAAAGGUAAAGCAAAAGAAAAAGCUAAGUUUGAUGGUUCAAAUUAAUUGUAUGUAAAUAAAAUUAAUUGUAUGUAAUAAAAAUUUUGGUAGAAAAAUGAUUUAUUAAUUGUAACCAAUUUUAGUCAAGUAGAGUCGCUAACCUACUCAACUUCACUUAGCUUUGGCAGUUCUCCCACUCUUUUAUUCUUUUUUUUUUUGUAUGUUCAUUUCGUUUUAAAUUCAUUCUUAUCAAAUUUAAGUACUUUUCUUGAAUUUUUAUUAAAUUAUUACUAACUCAACUCAAUUUUAACCCAUUAUUUUUAUCGUUAACUAAAUGCUUCGUGUCUCAACUUUUAAAUAAAAAAGUACUCUUUUAAGAGUAACUAUAAUGGAUAACAUGUAAGCAAACAUCUUUUAAAAAUUGCAAAUGUAGCAAAGUUUAUCAACAAUAGACUCUUAUGUAAGUAAUAGAUCAAUAUUUAUCAUGUGAACUACUUGUGAUAUGUUUCUAUCGUUGAUAGACUCUAACAAACUUUGUUAUAUUUAUAAUUUUUUAAAAUGUUGUUAUAUAUGCUAAUACUUUUGAAUCUAAUUGUUAUAUUUGCAAUUGUUCAUUUUUUAUAGGUCCAUAAAGUCUAUUUUGCCUCUAUAAUAAGUCAUAACAUAACAUAACAUAUUUAAACUAUGUUGAUAGCUACAUUUACACGUUCGAAUUUUUAAUUGUAAACAUCAAGCUCCCAAGCUUAUACCAUCGUUAAAAUUUGUCCCUCUAAAAUUGAUAUAAUUGUGAAGAUGGUUAACAAACGUAAAAAGAAUUAAGGGUUUGAUUUUUAUCAUUUGAUUUCAAUUGAGAGUCCAUUUUUAACACUUAUGUAAGUUUAAGAAUUUAACAUUAAUUUAGAAUCGAAAGUUAAUGGUGUAAUUACAACUAUUAGAAGUACGUUUUUUUUUUUUAACAAUUAACGAGCCUUUUCUUCUUUUUGUUUUUGAGUAGAGGAAUAAAGGCCGCAGGAAAGAAAGAAAGUAUUAAGAAAAUUGUAUAUGAUGAUGAUGAUGAUGAAGAAGGGCAGGCUCUCUUGACUUGGAAGACACCACUCAUGAUGAAGUUGAUGCUCAUUUGUAUUUCCCUUUAAUUUGCAAUACAACAUAAGUAUGGCAAGGCGUAAAAGUGAAGAAAAUGGACCAAAGAGUAACUUUACCCUUGAAAGAAAGGGUCUUCAAGACAAAUUAUGAGGAGAUUUCAAGCUUGAUAUAUUGUAUAGAUGAAUUGUUUUUCUUAUUAUAUCAAUUUAUUUUUAGGUGAAAUUUUAUAUUUGACCUAAUAUAUGACGUUAGAAUCCGUGAGGAUGGAUUUUCAAUUCAAAAAAAUGGUAACCGACUCAAGGAUUGUAAACUCAAUGAGUAACUGUUUUGAAAGAUUAUGUUGAGGAUCUCACAUUAAUUAAUAAAAAAUGAGGAUAUCUCGCCUAUCUUCAUAAGAUACGUGAGUUUUACUCUUCUUGAUAUUAUUGUGAAUUUGUUUUGAGAUUAACUUAUGUUUAUUGAAAGUGCAUAUUUAAAUAUAGUAAAAUGAGUAAAAAUAUUUAGAAAAUUUACCUUCUUUUUAAAUAUUUUUUAUUGUUAUUUUGAAAAGAACUCAAAAAAAAAAAGACAAAAAAAAAAAAAAGUGAAAAAAAGUGGUUGAGUUGUAGUAUUGGAGGUGGAGGCCAAAUUUGUGGGUCUCUUUAUAUCACAUGUGAAUGGAAAAGAGGGCAAAGUAAUUGGGCCACUUGACCCAAGUAGUCAACCUUCAUAUCAUCCCCUCUAUGACUUAACCAUACAUUUUGGAGUCACAAUUCAUCCCAAGGCUUUCUACCUAAACAGCUUCAUUUACACAAAUGGUAUAGUUGUAAAUAUAGAGUAUUAUUUUAAAAAAAAAUACAAAUAUAACAAAAUCUGUCAAAAUCUAUCAAUUAUAAGAAUAUCAUUACGUAUAAAUAGCAAGAUUUAGUGGAGUUAUAAGUGUAUAUAUACAUUGUCCAUAAAGAAGGAGAAAUUGUAAGAUUUUCUAAUUUUCUUAAUUUCUUAUUUUUAUUAUAUUUUAUAUGUAUAUUUAAAUAUCUUUUUAAUUUUAAAUUUUGGAGCCGGCAUAUUUUAUAUAGUAUAUUCUGAUUUUGAUUUUUACAUUUCAUGAUAUAUAAAUAGAAACACACAACAAAUAACAAAAACGUUAUCAAAUGAACUUUAAAGUAUGCAUUAAUUAUAAUCUUGAAAUAAUAUUAAGAUACAAAUAAAAACACAACUUGAUCCUAUAAGAUAAAAAUAUAACGACAUUUUGAAACAUAUAGUAAUUAAAUGAAACCAAAACUAUAUUCAAAACUCAUCAAAAGAAAGCCUCUGGGUAUAUAAUUAUUUUUGCAAAUACGUUCUCUAUCAUCCAUUUUUCCCCAAAGUCUCUUUCUCAUCUCAUGAAAACUUGUUUUGAUCUCUUAACGAUUCUCCAAACAUGUUAUAGAAAUUGUAACAUUUUUAAAUGUAGUUGUAAAUUAAAAUUAUGUUUCUUUUAUAAAUAUCACUAAAAACAUCUUCAUCAAAAUGUUUGAAUUUAGUUCACUCAUAAUUGACAGAAACAAUGUUGAACAAAAUUAAAGAUUGGAUCCUUAUCGAUGUUCUUUUCUCGAAGGAAUCAAUUUUGUCUCUUGUCUUCCUAUCCUUUUAUUCUCAAACUCUCUCCUCACCUCGUAAAUAAUUUAUUUAUUUUUAUUUUAAAUCAUCCAAUUAUUUUAUAUUGAUUUGUAACCUUUUAAAUAUAGUUAUAAAUUUAAAAUAUAUUUUUAUAAAUACCCCUAAUAAUAUGUUCAUCGAAUGACAUGGUCAUUUGAUUUUGCAAAAUCUAAUCUAGGUUAAUUAAUAAUUGCAAUUAUACCUUUAAACUUUCGAAACAAAAAAUUGAGCUAUCAAAAUUAUUCAAAAUUUUGAAUUAGACCCUUACACUUAAAUAAUUGUAUGAAUUAUAUUGUUCAUGAAACAUCCAAUAUUUCAAAGUGUGCAGAGAAUCAGUAUUAUAUUAGAUACGUAUCAAUCUGAUACGUUUCUAAUAUUGCAUCUUAUCACCGUAAUUAAGGUCAUUUAGCAAUAAUCUAUCAUCGUAAUUAAGGUCAUUUAGCAAUAAUCUAGGAAUACAUUAUUGUAAUUAGAAUAUUUUGAUCUUUUCCUUAUAGGUCGUCCAAUUAAGUGUAUAUGUACCAUUGUAUUCUUUAUUUUACACAACAAAUUAAUAAGAUCUAGAAUAUUCCCAUAAUAUUCAUCAUGGUAUCAGAGCCAAAACCCUAGAUUUACUGUCAACACCGCAACCCAGCCGCGAACACCAGAUCUCCCCUCGGUCAAUCUUCCUGCUGUAACCUCCUGCAGUGAAGACGCCUGCCGUGAAGACACUUCCGCCAUCGCCUCCGUCCAAAAAAAAAAAAAAAAUCCACGCGUAGGUCUACUGCAGAUCAGACGAACCCAGACGAUUGCGCGUCAGCCUUCGCCCGCAUCAGUUCACAACUCUAAUUUCGUCCGAUAAUCAGAUCAGACGCGUUCAUCCCCGUCCAAUAACCCAGGUCCGACGAACCCAGCUCCAAUUUCGUCCGAUAAUCAACUCCGAUCUCGUCCGAUUCACUCUCAGCUCCGAUUCACUCUCAGCUCCGAUUCACUCUCAGCUCCGAUUCACUCUCAGUUUCGAUUCACGUCUGUUUUCAUCCGAGUCCGUUCGCAGAUCCGAUUCAAGUUUUGUCUUCAUUCACAUCAGAUCUGAAGACAUCCUGCCGUGAAGACACUCACCUGUUGGUAACCCACUGCCGUGAAGUAACAUAAUUCCAGUGAAAUCCCAGCCGCGAACUCCAGCCUCGAACCCUAGAUCUAAAGAAAUAACGACGAACCAGCAGCAAAUCUUCGUCAACAACCAAUAUUCUGUGAACCAGCAACAACUAAUUAUCUUUAGAUGGAGAAACAUGAAAUUGCUCGUCCCAUUAGCACCAUUCUCGAUAGAACUAAUUAUAUUACUUGGGCCCACCAAAUGAGGAGUUUUUUAAUAGGUUGAAAGUUAUGGCGUAUCGUUACUGGAGAUAUCACUAAACCAGUCAAACCUACUCCUCCGAUGGACACCACUGAAAAUAUUGAUACAGACCCAUCUGAUGUCACUGUUCAAGAAACGACUGCAGAAACCGACAAAUACAUUGAACGUCUUGAGGAUUGGGAUAGCAAAAACCAUCAGAUCAUCACUUGGUUGGGUAACACCUCUAUUCCAGCAAUUCACACACAAUUUGAUGCAUUUGAUACGGCAAAAGAACUCUGGGAUUUUCUGUCCACACGUUUUCAGUCUAUUGGACUUGCUCACUAUUACCAAUUGCACUCUCGACUUGUUAGUCUAAAUCAGGAGGGAGGACAAUCUGUGAACGAGUAUCUUGCAACUCUUCAACCAAUCUGGACUCAGUUAGAUCAGGCAAAAAUCAAACCGGAGCAUAUUCGCCUCAUCAAAGUUCUUAUGGGUCUUCGCCCAGAGUAUGAAUCAGUCCGUGCUGCAUUGUUACAUCGUAACCCUCUGCCGACUCUUGAUGCUGCCAUUCAAGAAAUCUUAUUUGAGGAAAAACGCCUUGGCAUUGUUUCCUCUCUGCCCUCUGAUGUCGCUCUUGCAACCACCCAUUCACGAUCGGCUAAUGAGUCUAUUUUCUGCAAAAAUUGCAAACUUCAUGGUCAUAAGUUCGCUAAUUGUCCUACUAUUGAGUGCAGGUAUUGCCACAAACGAGGUCAUAUCUUGGACAACUGUCCCACCCGCCCACCCCGCCCUCCUGGUGCUCCAUAUAAACCCAAGUCCUCCACUAAAUACAGUUCUCCACCUAUUGUUGCUGCUGCUACCUCAUCUGAUAUCACCACACCUCAGAAUUUUCAGUUAAAUGAUCUUCAUGACUUACUGAAACAGGUGAUCUCUUCCAACUCUACUGCUCUUGCCGUCACUCCAGGUACAUCUUGGCUCCUUGAUUCAGCUUGUUGCAAUCAUAUGACUGCUGACAUUUCAUUAUUAUCCUCACCUAUUCAUGUUCAAUCUCUUCCCUCAAUUCACUCUGCUGAUGGUAAUCAUAUGCCUAUCUCUCACGUUGGUACUGUUAACACACCCACCAUAAAACUGUCAAACACCUAUCAUGUUCCAAAACUCACAUUCAACCUAGCUUUUGUUGGCCAACUUUGUGAUCUCGGACUAACUGUUAUCUUUUCUUCUCAUGGGUGUCAGGUUCAGGAUUCUCAAACGGGACAAGUGAUUGGUACGGGACGGAAGGUGGGACGAUUAUUUGAACUUACAUAUCUUCAGCAAUCUCCUGAGUUUCCACCCAUCUCUGCACCAGUCACCGAUACCACUAUAUAUCAGUGGCACCUUCGUCUAGGUCAUGCAUCCUCUGAUAAACUUCGUAAUUUAGUUUCUACUGGUAAUUUGAAUAAUGUCUCAAAAUUCAGUCAUUUUGAUUGCUUAAAUUGCAAACUUGCAAAACAACCUGCUUUAUCAUUUCCUAAUUCCACCUCUCUAUGUAAUAAGCCUUUUGACCUUAUUCAUUCUGACAUUUGGGGUCCUGCUCCUUGUACUACCGUUAAUGGUUAUCGAUACUUUGUCUUAUUUAUUGAUGACUAUUCUCGUUUUACUUGGAUUUACUUUCUUAAACAUCGCUCUUCCUUAUAUCAAAUAUAUGUUGAUUUUGCAAAUAUGAUUCACACACAAUUCUCCAGCAAAAUUAAAAUCUUUCGAACUGAUAAUGCGAUGGAAUAUAAGGACUCUCAUCUUCUUUCCUUUCUUGCCCAGCAAGGCACUCUGAUUCAACGCUCCUGUCCUCACACCUCUCAGCAAAAUGGAAGAGCUGAACGCAAACAUCGUCACAUUCUUGACUCUGUUCGCGCUCAGCUUCUAUCUGCUGCUUGUCCAGAAAAAUUCUGGGCGAGGCUGCCCUCACCUCUGUCUAUGUCAUCAAUCGUCUUCCUUCAAAAGUCACUAAAAAUGUUUCUCCCUUUGAAAGACUAUACGGUACUUCCCCUUCUUACUCCAAUCUAAAAAUUUUUGGUUGUGCAUGUUUCGUAUUAUUACAUCCUCAUGAACAUACCAAACUUGAACCACGUGCACGUCUAUGUUGCUUCUUGGGUUAUGGUACUGAACAUAAAGGAUUUCGUUGUUGGGACCCCAUCUCUCAACGAUUACGUAUAUCUCGUCAUGUCACCUUUUGGGAACAUCGUAUGUUUUCUAGUCUUUCUUCAUUCCAUGAAUCUCUUUCAAGUUCUCACCCAUUCUUCACCGAUCCUUCUAUUGACCUUUUUCCCUCACUUGACUCAACACCUGACACUACACCUUGCAUGUUACCUAUACCUGAGCCCACUCAAUCGGACCAUAUUUCUGCACUCCCGGAUCUUUCAUCUGCCCCUCUUGAGGAACCUGAAUCUACACCAAUCCGACGAUCUACACGGGUAAGAGAAAUUCCCUCUCACCUUAAAGAUUACCAUUGUUUCUCCACUAUCAUGUCUUUAGUUGAACCUUCCUCGUAUAAGGAAGCCAGCACUAACCCAUUAUGGCAGCAAGCAAUGAAUGAAGAACUUCAAGCCUUAGAAAAGACUCAUACUUGGGAGUAUGUGGACUUACCUCCUGGAAAGAAACCUAUUGGCUGUAAAUGGAUCUUUAAAAUCAAAACGCACUCUGAUGGCUCUAUAGAACGAUACAAAGCACGACUUGUAGCCAAAGGUUACUCUCAAGAAUAUGGCAUUGAUUAUGAAGAAACGUUUGCUCCAGUAGCUCGAAUGACGUCUGUUCGUAGUCUUUUAGCCAUUGCAGCUGCAAAACAGUGGCCCCUCUUACAAAUGGAUGUUAAAAAUGCAUUUCUCAAUGGAACUCUAUCUGAAGAAGUCUAUAUGAAACCACCACCUGGUACUACUCCGCCACAUCAGAAAGUAUGUCUUCUUCGACGAGCUCUCUAUGGUCUCAAACAGGCUCCUCGAGCCUGGUUUGCAACUUUUAGCUCCACUAUUACUCAACUUGGGUUCACUUCCAGCCCUCAUGAUUCAGCCUUGUUCACCCGCCAGACACCUAAUGGUAUUGUACUCCUUCUUUUAUAUGUUGAUGACAUGAUUAUUACAGGCGAUGACCCUCAAGCUAUAUCUGAAUUGCAAUGCUACCUGGAAAAGCACUUUGAGAUGAAGGAUUUAGGACCUCUCAGUUAUUUCCUUGGCCUUGAGAUCACUUUCGUGUCUGAUGGUUAUUACUUAUCUCAAGCAAAAUAUGCUUCUGACCUACUCAGUCGAUCUGGUAUUACUGAUUCUACAACAUCCUCAACACCUCUGGAUCCAAAUGUUCGACUUACUCCUUAUGAUGGUUUUCCCCUUGACGAUCCUACUUUGUACCGGCAACUUGUUGGUAGCUUGAUUUACUUAACUGUAACUCGCCCUGAUAUUGCGUUCGCAGUUCACAUAGUCAGUCAAUUCAUUGCCGCUCCUUGUACUAUUCAUUUCACUACUGUUCUUCGGAUUCUUCGCUACAUUAAAGGCACUUUGGGUCAUGGUCUCCACUUCUCCUCACAGUCUUCCCUGGUUCUCUCUGGAUUCUCUGAUGCUGAUUGGGCAGGAGAUCCUACUGAUAGAAGAUCCACCACUGGCUAUUGUUUUUAUUUAGGUGAUGCUCUUAUCUCCUGGCGCAGCAAGAAACAAUCUGUUGUUUCCCGGUCUAGCACUGAGUCUGAAUAUCGUGCUCUAGCUGAUGCCACUUCAGAAUUAUUAUGGCUUCGUUGGCUUCUUACUGAUAUGGGAGCCCCACAAACAUCAUCUACUACUCUCCAUUGUGAUAACCGCAGUGCCAUUCAGAUUGCACACAAUGAUGUAUUUCAUGAACGAACAAAACACAUAGAGAACGAUUGUCAUUUUGUCCGUCAUCAUCUUCAAAGCAACACUCUCCGUCUUCAAUCUAUCUCUACCAUUGAUCAACCUGCAGAUAUCUUCACCAAAGCUCUCCAUUCUCUUAAAAAAAUCAGUUACGUAUAACCCUUUAUAUAUGUGAAAGGGGUACACCAAAUCAAUUUAUAUAUAUAUAUAUAUAUAUAUAUAUCAAGAUGAAUUUUAACUCUAAAACUCAUAACUCAAUUUCAUAAAAAUGCUAUAACUACAGACAAAACCAGUGACGAAUCUAGAAAUUUUAUGUAGGAGUAUUAUAUAACAAAAGGAAAUUAUAGCAGACAAGAAUAAACUGACAUAUAUAUACACAAGUAGUCAUAAAUUUGAUACUUUAUGCUUUUGUGGAUUAUAUUUAAUAUAUGUGUUAAAUAAACCGACAUAUAUGUACAUUAGUUUUUCAUAAAUCAAUGAAUCGUCAUAUUCGAUCGUACCUCUAUUACAUAUAUAUCCAUAUAUAUAUCUUUGCUUUAUAGGUAUUGAUCAUAUAAUUAAUUUUGAGCGUUAAUUUUUUAUCAUUUGUGGGUCAAAUUUUAACAUUUUUAGAAAAGUAUUUUUAUUAUAUUUUAAAUUUUGGUCUUCUUCUUUUAUAGAUAAAAUGGUAUUUUAUUUAUGUGUGUAUAUAUAUUUGUAAAUUAAAUGUGACAAAAGGGCAGCCAACUCAACCACUUUGAUAGGAAUGUUUAUGAAUGAUUGGAUGAAUCAUAUUAUGUAUGUUCUACACGUAGCCCUCUUGAAAUUAACCUAAUCUUUAUUACAUUUCAUUUUCAAAGAAAAUGACACACUUUUGGUUUGCUUAUAACCAUAUAAUAAAAUCAAUUUUAAAAAUAAUAAUCUUUUGCCUUUUGUCUGGUCAAUAUCUAUCUCCCAUUAUAUAUAUAUAUAAAUAAAAAUCUCCUAAUUUUAUUUUAUAAUGAAAUAAUUUGAUUGAUUUUUUUUUCUUCUAACUACUCUCUAAGUUGAGUUCGUUUUAAUUUAUACUAUUAAAUAAUCACAAAAGUGAGAAUAUUUAGAUAUUUAAAAUACAUUAAAAGUUUUACGAAUUUGGGUAAAAACUUGAAUUUUUACACUAAAUAAUACUCAACAUGAAUGUGUAACAAAUAGUUUUUUCUUUUAGAAAGGUGAAAAAUAGGGGGGGGGGGGACUUAUACUGUGAACUUUUAUAAAAAAAAUAUUAAUUUACGGUCUCAAUUUUGAUAAUUUGUAAUGAUUUUGUCUUCAUACUUUAAAAUAUGUGAUAAUUUAGUCAGAAGUGUUGAAAUUACUGUUAAGCAAACACUACAUGAAAAAGUUUAUUUGUCGAUGUUAAUGUGACAGUUUGUGACCACUUCUACCAACGUGUAGGCAUAGAUGUUGUCUUUUUUUCAAAAAAAUGAAAAAAGAAUUAUUUAUAAAAGAAAUAUAUCUCUUUUAGCUUUAGUUGUAGCUAAAUUUUUUGAUAAAAUAUUUCCAAAUAGUCUAUAAAAAGCAAAAUAUUUUUAAAAACAAUAUGAAACAUCCAAACGUUAAUUUAAAUAGUCAUAACUAUCAAUCCUUACAAAAAAAAAGUCACAAAACAAAAUAACUUAUAUAUUAAGGAAGAGUAGCAAAUCACAUUAGUCAUUAAACAUAUAAUUAUAGGACAAAAAUAAUUAACUCACAUUUUCAAAACAACAGUCAACAAUAAUACAAAAAUCAUUAACUAACAUUUCCUUAAUACACAUACGUGAAGACAACAUCAUAAACGACUCAAAAUUCUCAAUUCACAUUCAAAACAAUAUACAAAAGCAAUAUAAAAAUCACUAAUUAACAUCUCUUUAACAGACAUUCGAAAGACUAACAACAACAUCAUAAACAUAAUUAACUCAAAAUUCUCAACCUACAUUCAAAAAAGAACAUCAACACAACAAAACCCAACAAUUCCUAACUCACAAUUAAUUAUAAACUCAACCAUAUUCAAAACAACACAAAGAAUAUUAACUCAUAACAACUCACAUUCAAAACAACACAUCUGACUUCAGGUUUAAAGCACACCCAAGAGAAUUUUCAUAUUUUUUUUACAACAAAAUGCAGAUUUUCUUGUUUGGCUAACAAUAAAAAAAAGCAACUUAUUCCUAAUCAAAACUAAAACCAUGCAUGCACAUAGUUUGGAGGUUGAUACUAGUGUCCUAUGCAUUCAUUUUUCUUGUAGUUAAAGUUUAAUAAGGAUUUCUUGUAUAUAAAUAAAGGGUAUUAUAUUUAUUUAUUUAUUUUGAUUGAGGGUUUGUUUGAAUAUAUUUGUUGAGUUAGGGUAAUAUACGAACUCACAAACACGUAAUUCAAUUUGAACCAACACUCAUUUCUUAAUCCUAUAAUUAUUUAAAAUCGAACCAAAUCAGAUUUUUUUUAUAAAUAUAUUAGUUCUGUGAGUUUGUUAUGGGCCUCCAUUGAGAAAAGUCCAAGGCAUGUAUGAUAAUCUGAAUAUAGAUCACAACUUAGGUAUGGUGAAAAUAAUGUUGGAGAAAAUUAAAUAGUUUUGUACAAAAACUGAAAAGAAAAGGAAAAAUGUAACAAAACUUAUUGAUUUAUAUUUAAAAUGAUGAUGACAGCUAUAAACAAAGUGGCCCAUAACCAUUGACAUUGACUCUCCACCAAUAAUAAUAACACAACAAAGGCUGUACCCACCAACCAUACAAAUGUUUCCAAAAUGUAAUCAAUAUCAACUAUUUGUAUGAAUAUCAAAUAUUUGGCUACAUCUCCAACUAAGCCUCCUUCUUAUUGUUUGUUCCAACCACACCUUCAAAUAAGUUCUAAAAUAUUUAUAUAGCUCUAAUUUUUUUAGCAUGCAAAUACACAUCGUAAUGUUUGUCCAUAUAUCUUCAAGUUUUUUUUUUUUUUAAAAUUUUAAUUUACGUAUGAACUAUUACUUGUUUAUCCUUAAUUAUAUAUUAUUUUUUUCAAUGACAUUUUGUUAUCUGUUAACAUUUUUACUUGUUUUCAAUAUUAAACUCAAACAUAUCCUAAAAUUAGGAUUUAUUAAAGCUAUGAUAACUAAAAUUAAACAUUACAACAACUUAAAUGAUAUUUUUAACCAUCUUUUUAAAAAGUACUUUUAACGUAUAAGAUUAAAUUACAACCACCACGUCCCUAUCUCAAUUCCACUAAAAAAUAAAUUUUAAAAUAAAAAAUUCAAUAACAGCUUAACCAAACUUUGAAAAAAAUGAAACAAAUUAAUCACCAAAUAUCAAAAGAUAUAAUAACCAAAAUGGAUUUGUCUUAAACAUCAAAUCUCUAUAAUUUCAAAGAACAAAAAUUCAUCGGGAAGUUCUGAAAAAUAACAAUGGGUUCUCAGGUAUCCAAACAAGUGGAACGCCGGAAAUCCAUUACCACGGAGAAGAAGGUUCUAGCCGACCUCCGAAUUAACGCCGGAGAAGAUUUCCCCGGUUCCGAAUACCGGUCACCGGACAGGAAAAACUGGAUGUCAAAUCUCGGCACCGAAAGAACCCGCGUGAACCAAAUCGUAUGGCCAGGGACUCACGACUCCGCCACCAACGUCAUCGGAAUACCCUUCAUCACCCGUCCUUUCGCCCAGUGUCAAUCACUCUCCAUUUACGAACAGCUCGUGUUAGGUACGCGCCUCCUCGACAUUCGAAUCCAAGAAAAUCGUUUAGUCUGCCAUGGAAUCCUCUCGACGUACAGCGUCGACGUCGUUUUCGCCGAUAUAAAGAAAUUCCUGGCCGAAACCCAAUCUGAAAUCGUAAUCGUCGAGAUCCGAACAGAGUUUGGCCACGAGGAUCCGCCGGAUUUCGACAAGUACAUCGUUGAAAAAAUCGGGGAGUUUUUGAUUCACAACGAUGAGGGGGUGUUUGAGAAGACGAUUGCGGAAUUGUUGCCGAAGAGAGUGAUUUGCAUUUGGAAACCCAGGAAAUCGCCGGCGCCGAAGGCCGGAGAUCCGUUGUGGGGAGGUGGGUAUUUGAAGGAUAAUUGGAUUGAUACGGAUCUGCCGUCGACGAAGUUUGACAGUAACUUGAAAUUCUUGUCGGAGCAACCACCGGUGACGAAGAGGAAGUACUUUUAUAGAGUGGAGAAUACGGUGACGCCGAAAGCGGAUAAUCCGAUAUUGUGUGUGAAACCGGUGACGAGGAGGAUUCAUAAAUUUGCUCGGUUGUUUAUCAAUCAGAGCUUUGCAAAAGGAGUGGCCGAUAAAUUGCAGGUUUUGUCGACGGAUUUCAUUGAUGGGGAUUUUGUUGAUGCUUGUGUUGGACUUACAAGUGCAAGAAUCGAAGGGAAGGCCUAAUUUUUUCUUUAAAAUUUGUGUUUUGUGUUAUAAUAUCAUCAAUGUGUGUAAGUGUUUGUUUGUUUGAUUAAUUAUCUGGAUAUAUUUUUGUGAGAAAAUAAGCGUAUAUACUUAUUUGUACUUAGUUAGGGUAAUUAUGUUAUGCCUAUGAUUAAGUAGUUUUGAUUUUUUGAAGCUCGUCUACGUCCAUUGAGUGAAAUUUAUAUAGAUUGUUGGGCAUAUACUUUUAGGGGACUAAUACAAAAUCUUCCACAAAUUCUGGUAGUUUGUGGGUGUACAUAGGAUUUGGGGUUUGUCAUGCCAAGUUCGACAUCCAUAUCUUAAGUACUUUCGAACCAGUUUAGAAGUAGAGUUGAGAGAUUAUAAAACUAUGGUUAGCUUGUAGGUUUAAUUAGAAAGUUCGUGCACAAGGUUUAUAUAUUUUUUAUUAAAAAAUCUGCAUUUAAAGGUUUGAGAAUUAUGAGUUUCAAAUUCCUUAGUUUUUUUAUAAUAUAUAUAUAUUUUUUUUUGUUUAUAUUCAAAAGUUAUAUCAUUUUAUUCUCCGGAUUUGAAAGUAGCAUUUAAAUUUUUUAGAGAAAAUUUUUAAUAUAUUAGACAGCAAAUGUGAGAUGGAUAACAAUAAUGAUUUAUUUAGUUAUUUUAUUUCGAAAAAGUUUGAAUAUUUGUAUAGACAUAGAGAUUGUGUAUGUUUGGAUCACUUUUAAUGUCAUCCACAUUAAAAAGGAUAUAAUUGUUAUGCAACAACUUUUAGGUAUUUGUCAAUGAACUCAAAAUGUGAUUUUUGCUUCAAUAUCAUUACUCAUCCAACUUGUCUACUGGAGUCAUUUCAAUUUCUUUUCUUUCUGUUUUCUUUUAUCUACCCUAUUUCUUUAAUACUUUUUGGAUGAGAAUCUUUAUCAUCUUUAACUUAAAAAAAACCAAAUACAAAAGUUUUGUUUUUGUUUACAUUCUAUACAUUACAAUGAUCAUUCUUCAAGUUAAAUUCAGGUUGAAUUAUACUGUUUUUAAGAAAAGAAAAGUUUGUUAACUGAUCACUAAGAAGCCUCAAUAUAUACUUCAACUUAACUGUGUAAGUUACAAUCAUAUUCAUGGAAGGCCAACCAAUGACAUUUUGGGCCAUUUUGAUUGUUGAAUUAUAUAUUAUUUGAUGUAAUUUCACAUUUAUGCUAAAAUAUCUUCAAUGUAGAUUAACACAAAAGAGAAAAUCAGAUCGAGAAUAAGUGUCUAUUUUUUUCAUUUAUCAAUUUGAAUGACUUAAGGUAAAUCCAAGUAACUAAACUAUGCAUUAGGUAGCACUUUAAUGGAUAUUAAUUAAACAAUAAACUAUCCAACGAUAUAUUUUAUCAUUGAUAAACUUAUACUAGCGAUAUAAUAUAUCACUGAUAAAUUUCAAGAACUAACUCUAAAUUUUGUUAUCUAUUUUGAGUUUGGUUGUUAAACAAAAAAAAAGUGUAUAGGGAGGUGAUAAGUCAAUUCAUUAUUUUCACCAAUUUUAUUAUUAUUAUUUCCACUUUGGUUUAAUGAGUCACUUUUUCAGUUUUUAAACUAAAAUCAGUCUUCCCCUUUCGGUUUUUUUUUAACAUAAAUAUUGAAAUUUGACAUUUUAAUCUUUUCUAAAUAAUUAAAAAAAAAAGUCUAGAAGAGUUAAUUUACAAGGGUAUAUAUUGAUUCAAUUUUGUUCAGUAGCAAUAAGAAAAACGAUACAAUCCAAGAAUUUUUUAAAAGUAAAAAGCCCAAGUGUCCAAUUUUAUACUAAAAAAUGAAAGUAAAGUAAACCAUUGGUUGGAUAUUUUUGUUGUAGUUGUGGUGGUAGUCGGCAAUGAUAUUUGGUUUUUAGCCAAACGCGGCGGAAGUAAUGAGUUGUGGGCUCUUGAGUCCUUGGUUGCCCUCUCUCACUCGCAACGUCGGUGGACGGUGGACACACACACACACGCAGAAGUAAGCCAUAAAUGAAAUGUGCCUUAUUUCUGCUCCAAUCUACGCGCCCACUCCACUACCUAAAUUAUUAUCUACAUCCUUUAACUCAAUUUCAUACAAAUAUCCAUCAAAUCUACACCAAUAUUUACAUUCCUUUACAAAUUUUAUAUUACUCUUCAUGCAUGGGUCAUUCUCAUAAUACUCCAAAACCUUAUAGUUUUAUCCGUCAAAUCUUGAAGCUUUCACACAUGAAUAAAUUUAAGCUUUUAGUUGAUAAUUCUUUUAAAACCAUGUAUGCAUUAGUUAUAAUCAUUCAUUUUAUUAAUUGAAGAAAAUGAGAUAAAAGAAAAAGUUGGUUGAUACUUAGAGAUAAAUGACAACCCAACUCAACUAAUAUUUUUAGGAUUAGGUUAUAUUGAAAAUGUUAUUUGAGUUUCCAAUCCAACUCAACUUAUUUACACUCUCACUAGGAAGUGAUGAAUAAAAAAGUUCCAAAAGUGAUAACAAUAGAGAGUAAUUAAUUCAAUUAUAAUAUCAACUCAUUCUUUUAUUAGCUUAAUCGGGUAUAGUUUGUUUGUUUUUUGUCAAUAAAAUAUUAGACUUAAUUUUGAUUAAAUUGUUACCGGUUAUUUCAAAUAAAUAAAAAUAAUAAAUUAAAUAUUAAGAUAAUGUUUUUGGAUAGUUAUCUAUCUAAUUUUAGAAAAAGCAUAAUAUAUAUAUGUAGAAAAAAAAAAACAUAAGGUGGUACAUUGAUUCCAACAUUGGAGGUAGAAUUUAAAGCCACACAAUUGGGGUCAUGAAAUAGAAAGGCUAAAUUGUAUUGUGGAUAAAUUGAUUUCCCUUAUCCUCAUAUUCAUUGUGAAAGCUGACUCACAUGUUCCCAUCUCUUGUUUUUACUUCCCACUUCCCACCAUUCAAAUAUAUUUUUUUAUUUUGAGAAUUUCAUUCCUAUAAAUUAAUAAUAUCAACUAUAUUUUUACCUUCAUUCAAUCACUCAUUUCAAUUACAAAUUGGGUUGUGCCAAAUUGAGCUUUUCUUUUUGUAGAUGGAAAAUUGAAUUUUACCUUUUAUCAAUAAUAGAAUUAUAUAUUAUUAUGGUUAAACUAGGUUAUAAAUAAAUAUCACUAAACCAUUCUUAUAAUAAAUUGAUAUUUUUAGCAUGAUCUAAUUUAAAUCUUGUUUUUCAUUAUUUUAUACUAUACAAUCUCAAAUUUGCCCUUUGAAAUGGAUAAGACUUGGAAACAUAUAUCCAUCAUCAAUACGUGUAAAAAUAGAACCGUACAUUUCCCCUCGCGGCGUUCUCUAUAAAACCAUCCUCCAUUUCUUCAUCCCCUUCCAUUCAAAAAUACCCAAAUGACUUCCUCCUUUUUCACUUCCUUCACCCACUCUCCUCUCCCCCAACCCCCGCCUCCUCCUCCCCCUCCCCUUCCCUUCACAUGCCCACUUCCUCAGUCCUAGCAUCCACAACCGGGGUUCGCUUCACCCGUUCCUCCUUUUACGAAGUUCUUGGGAUUCCUAUGACAGCUUCUUCCCGGGAAAUCAAGGCGGCUUACCGGAAGCUAGCGAGAACCUGUCAUCCCGACGUUGUGGCCGAGAAUUCAGCGGAGGAGUUUAUUAAAAUUCAAACGGCGUAUUCAACAUUGUCGGAUCCGGAUAAAAGGGCGGAUUACGACAGGGAGAUUUGCAGAGCUCAAUUGCUUUCGGUUUCGGGGUUGUCGUCUCGGACGCCUGUCUCGGGUUAUUCCGGUUACUACACACGGCGAAAUUGGGAAUCGGAUCAAUGUUGGUAGUGAAAUUGAAAUUUGAAAUGUGACCCAGAAAUGGAAAGCGGAUAUAUAUUUUGAGGAGAUCUGUUUUGGAUAUAAACAGAUCUGAUUCCAUCUGAAUAUCGAAGAAUUUGGAGAAAAUUGGAAAUGGGAUUAUGAUUGCGCCAUUCGAGGACUGCUCAAUAGAUGAAGAAAAAAGAUAGAGUGAAGAAGAAGAUCAAGAAGAUGAUGAUGAUGAUGAUGAUGAUCGGAAAGAUCUAACCUCCGACAUCAAUGAACAAUUUUAAUAAUUGUUAUUUAAUAUCUGGUGUGAAUAAUUUUAUGGUGGUGGUGGUGAAGAGAGAGCGAUGUCGUUUUGUGUAUGGUUGAGAAAUAUGAUCAAUUUUAGAAUUUAAUUUCCCUUUUAUUUAUAUCUCAUCAUUUUCUAUUUAUAUUAAAAUAAAUAUCUAUUUUAGAUAAGACCCGAAUUAGAUUUAUGAGUUUUAAAAUAGAAAUACUAUUGUCGAGAAAGUAAAUUUAGUAUAAUUUUCGAUGUGUAUCAUGCAUGUUGACUACUUUUCGACGUUUACUUGCAUGCAUAGUGGACGUGCACUUGUUGGAGAAACGAUCAAAAUAAGGAUUAUUUUAAAAUUGUGAAGAAUUCGAAAUAGAUGUAUUAAGGUAAUUUUAUAUUCAUUAGUUAGUUUACUUGGUGAGUUGUCAUUUAUAAGAAAUUCUAUGAAAAGUUCAAAUUUUCUCUUUUUCGUCUUUAGUGUCGUAUCAUUUUAGAUCUUCCAGAGUUGAGAAGAAAAGUUCUUCAUUCUUCGUUCUCUUCUAUACUAUUAUAUUUUUAUCGUGAUUUUAUCGUGAUUUGAUUGUUGAUAAGGGUGUCAAUUCCUAUAUGCUUUAGUUUUUUUUUUUUUUUUUCUUUCUGAUUUCUAAAAUAAUCUCAUGAUGCAAUGCUAUGAUUUGGAAUCUUUCCGUCCAAAACAAAUUUAGGGUUUAAAGAGAGCAAUAAAAUCAAGCCAAAAAAUGGUAACAAGAUUAAGUAAAAGAUUUUUUUUCAAGUAUAAUAAAAAAAACAAAAUAUUUAUGUUCAUGACAAAAAUGCAAUGAACGACAAUGACUUGCAAUGGUUAAAGGACCAAUAAUUUUUGUCAAUCUUUUCCAUGGUGGAAAACUUCCAUCAAAACCUUGGAAUUUCAAUAGGUGAUAAAUUUGGUUUUUUCUCACGUCUACAAAUUUUCGAGAUUUUAAAAAAGUUCAAAAAAUUUGUAUUUGAUUUUUUUCUAUUUUGACGAAAAUUAAAGAAAUUUCAUAAUAUUGAUUUUAACUUAACUACGUUAAAAAAAUUUCAAAUGCAUCAUUCUAAUUACAUAAUUGUAUAGUUUCAAAAACCAAUAUGAAUUUUUUUUCAUAUACUACUUUUUUAAUUCCUCAUUUUUCUUAAUUUUUCAAUUUUAUUUUUGAUCUAAAACUUUCAUUUAUAAAAAAAUUGAAUUAAAAAAAAUCACAAAAAUAAUUAGGAGACUUUUUUUUCUUUAAAACCACAAUCAUUUCACCUCAAAAUUGAUUGAUAUGAAUUUUUCUUUUUUUUUUUUUACCGUUUAAAAUUUUCAUUCUCACACCAUUUCCACCGCAAAACAUUAUUAAAUUGUAUAUUAUUUUUUUCAUUUACUUAUAAAGUUGGUGAUCUCACAUCAACAUAUAUUCUUUUUAAACUUGAUAGAUACGAUGAUAAUUAAACUACCAACAAAGUUAAGUUAAUAUAAUUAUCAUUCAUUGUCAUAUUUAAUUUGUUAAAUGUCACAAAAAUGAGACUAGAUUGAAACGGCAUGGCCCCAUGGGAUAUCAUUGUCCUAUAAGUAAAUUCAACAAUAGUUAUCCACGUGAAUCAUGUGUUUGACUACUUUUAAAGAUAAACAUGUAACACUUAAUUAGAAAAUGAUUGAAAUUAUCUAAAACACACGUAUACAUUAGGAUGGUUUUAUAUUUAAUAUACAGUGAGUUACUUAAUUAAUGAGUUGCCAAUUAUGUAUUUUAUCACAUAUGGGUUAGCUAAGCUCUUAUUGGUGAGGAGCUAUAUGCAAGUUUAAUAUAGUUCUAUUUGGUUAAUUUGGAGGAGAUGGGCGAGGAGUUAUUAUGCAAGUUGUAUAGCGUAUCUUCUAUUCGAAGAAAGUUCUUCUUUACCCUCCUUUGUUGUUCAAUAUAUCUCGCAAUACGUUGUUGAUUAGUAUGUCAUUCUUCCUAUUUUUUUCAUAGUUUUGAUGGUAUUAGCUAGUUUUGUUCUUUUUCUAAACCCUCCGUUAUGUUUUAUUUGAAUACUCUUACGAAGGUUGAAAGUUUAAAUUGAUAUAUUUAGGAUAUAUCUUUAGAGAAUAAAAGUGUCCAACAUAAUUGUUUGGUUAAACAAAUAAUUAAAUCACAAUUCACAAUUACAACUAAAAUAAAUAUAAACAUAUGCAACACAUUUCUACAACUUUAUAUGUCAUUCAACAAAAUGUUUCAUAACAGACUUAAACAUAACAAGCUAGUAAUGCCCUCUAAGUUAUCGAUCAUCGUACAGUUUAAUUCAUUCUUUUGUUUUGUCACAAAAUUUGUUACUAUAUAUGUCUAAAUUGUAAACCUAUACCUGGCGGUUCUAACUUGAUCAACAUUAUAGGUGUUAAUCAACUAAACAAUGAUAAGUAAAAAAAGUAAGCAAAUGAGUGGGUGGAAGAAUGAGGAGAUGCCAGUUUCACUCUUGAAUGGUUGGAAGUUUACAAAACCGGGUUCAUUUCGUGGUUGUUUGGUCUGAAAAUCGGGUUCGACCAAAGGAUGAGAAGGUGGGAUGAAAAGUCUUUUUUUAGGAAAAAGGAUGAAAUGCAUUAUUUUGAUUUAAUAAGAACACAAAUGAGCGAAAAUCAGGGACGGCCAUGGCCUCUCUUUCUCUCAAUCCGCCAUUGUUUCUCUCUCUCUCUCUUUCUUUCUUUUUUUCUUUUUUCCAAAAAAAAGAAAAAGAAAGAGAGAGAGAGGAACUCUCCGUCAAAAUUUCAGUCUGGCCAUGGCCGGCAUUGUCAAGGAAAUCCUGGCAAGGCCCAUCCAACUGGCCGACCAGGUUACCAAAAACGCUGAUUCCGCUCAAUCUUUCAAACAAGAAUGCAUAGAACUCAAAACCAAAACCGAAAAGCUCGCCGCCCUCCUCCGUCAGGCUGCCCGUGCCAGCAACGAUCUCUACGAACGUCCCACUCGCAGGAUCAUCGACGACACCGAACAAGUUCUCGACAAAGCAUUAACCCUCGUCAUCAAAUGUCGCGCCAAUGGGAUAAUGAAACGUAUGUUCACCAUUAUCCCAGCCGCCGCUUUCAAAAAAACCUCCACCCAGCUUGAAAAUUCCAUUGGCGAUGUCUCUUGGCUCCUCCGUGUCUCCGCCCCUGCUGAAGAUCGCGACGAUGAAUAUCUUGGCCUUCCUCCCAUUGCUUCCAACGAACCCAUUUUGGGUUUGAUUUGGGAACAGGUCGCUAUUCUUCAUACCGGUACUUUAGAGGAACGAUCCGACGCUGCUGCUUCUCUCGCGUCGUUGGCUCGUGAUAAUGAUCGGUACGGGAAAUUGAUUAUCGAAGAAGGUGGGGUUGUGCCAUUGCUGAAAUUGGCUAAGGAAGGGAGAAUGGAAGGUCAAGAACAUGCCGCUAGAGCGAUUGGACUUCUGGGUCGAGAUUCAGAGAGCGUUGAACAGAUUGUGAAUUGUGGGGUUUGUUCUGUUUUUGCUAAGAUUCUAAAAGAUGGGCAUAUGAAGGUUCAAUCUGUUGUAGCUUGGGCUGUUUCGGAAAUGGCGACUCAUCAUCCUAAAUGUCAAGAUCAUUUUGCUCAAAACAAUGUGAUUCGUCUUCUGGUUAGUCAUCUUGCCUUUGAAACCAUUCAAGAACAUAGUAGGUACACCAUUGCUACUAAACAUCAAAUGUCGAUUCAUUCUGUGUUUAUGGCUAAUAACAAUGGUUCUGAUCAAAAUGUGAAAAAUGGGUAUGAAGAAGAAGAUCCUAAACAGACGGCUAAUAGUGUCAAUCACCCAACUGGGAAUCAAUUGUCUAGCCAAAUGCAUAACGUAGUUACCAACACAAUGGCUAUGAAGAAUCCUGUUACGGGUCAAUCCAAUACACAGGAAAUUCAGAAGACUACUCAUCACAUUCAAAAUCCUGGCCGUGCUGCAUUAUCCGGAGCUAGCAUUAAAGGAAGGGAAUAUGAAGAUCCUGCCACUAAAGCUCAAAUGAAAGCCAUGGCUGCUAGAGCUUUAUGGCAUUUAUGCAAAGGGAAUGUUACUAUUUGUCGAAACAUUACAGAGUCAAGAGCCCUUUUGUGUUUUGCUGUUCUGUUAGAGAAAGGUCCUGAGGAUGUUAAGUACUAUUCAGCCAUGGCAUUGAUGGAAAUCACCGCAGUUGCCGAACAGAAUUCCGACCUACGUCGUACUGGAUUCAAACCCACCUCCCCUGCCGCUAAGGCUGUCGUCGAACAGUUAUUGAAAAUCAUCGAGAAAGCAAAUUGUGAUCUGCUUUUACCUUCAAUUCAAGCCAUUGGUCAUUUGGCUAGGACGUUUAGAGCAACUGAAACAAGGAUAAUCGGACCACUUGUUAAGCUGUUGGACGAAAGGGAAGCUGAGGUUUCAAUGGAAGCUGUGAUUGCACUUAACAAAUUUGCUUGUACAGACAAUUUCUUACAUGACAAUCAUUGCAAAGCUAUAAUCGAAGCAGGAGGGACAAAGCACUUAAUCCAAUUAGUAUAUUUUGGUGAACAAAUGGUUCAAAUUCCUUCAUUGAUUCUGCUUUGUUAUAUAGCUUUACAUGUUCCUGAUAGUGAGACACUAGCCCAAGAAGAAGUACUUAUAGUGCUGGAAUGGUCAUCUAAACAGGCACAUUUAGUGGAAGAACCCACCAUGGAAAAUCUAUUGCCAGAAGCCAAAAGUAGGUUGGAGCUUUAUCAGUCAAGAGGUUCAAGAGGAUUUCAUUGAUUCUUCUUUUUUUCUUUACAAAAAUCUGUAUAAUAACUGUUCAAAAAUAUCCAAAAUGAGGUUUUUUUUUUUUCUUUUUGCUUCUUUUUUGUUUCAUUUUUUAAGUUUUUCAUCUUUGACAAAACUGUAUGUAAACUAGUUUGGUAAUGGAUUAGAAAAAGCCUUCUAACAGUUCAUUUAGCCUUUUGUAACUUUUCUUUUCCUCUUGUUUUUCCAUAUAUAUGAUAACUUUUGAUCUCAAUCUACCUUUGUCUCUUUGUUCGUCAUCGUUUUGUUUCUUAACUUGGAAGUUUUAGCGGUUGUCGUCCUUGAUUCAAGAGGGAAGCCCUUUCUUGAUCAAUUGCCUUAUGCUUCCUUCUACGUUAAUUGAGAAUAAAGCUGGGAAAGACAAUUUGGAAGUGAUUGCAUGUUUGAGGUGUUAUUAUUAAAAGUCAAUAGAGGAAAUUGCAACGAGUGACGGAUUGAGAAUAUGAUAUUAAAAACUCACAUUUUUUUUUCAUUAAGUAGAUAUAACACUUUUUAGUGUAUCAAAGUAUAACAAGAUCACUAUCAAGUAUAUCAAGAUUAUUAUGUGUAUCGUGUGUGUUGGGUAUAUUAGGUGUAUCUAUACUUUUUGACGUAUUCAUGGGUUGGACAAGCCUAAUUUUAAAAACUUAUUUUGUCAAAUUUGUAAAAAGAAAAACUCUUAUAUAUGUGUUUUGGGUGCAAACUAUUUUAACAAAUUGGUAGAAAAAAAAUACACACUAUACCAAAGAGACAAAUAGAAUAUAAGUCCAUUUGCAUAUUGAGCAUAUGCAUUUAUUUAUGAGUUAUUUACAAUUUUGAUCAUAGGACUUAGAGAAGCAGAUUACAUAUAAACCCACUAAUUCAGUGGUAUCGUAUUGAAUUUUGAAAACAUUCUUUCUAAUAAUGUUGUUCUUCUUCUAACUAUGGACAUACACAUUAUUAAUGAAUCACACGUAUCUAUGUAUCGAUCUCUAUACGUUUUUUUUUUUUUUUUGUAUUGUUUAAUUGUUAGUUUCGUAACAACAUACAUGAUCUCAUCUAAAAAAUUGUAAAAGUUUGUAUAUUCAUAUCUAGUUCGAUAAUAGUUGACAUAUUUGGAUUCUCUCAGAUUCAAAAUGGUCGAAUGAACAAUAAAUUCAGGAGAUAGGAAUAAUUUGUAUUUAUUUAUUCAUUUGAGAAAUAUGGGAAAAAGAGUUUUUAAAAUAUAGAGUGGUUGGAGAAACAAGAAGUAAUGAACAUAUAUUGUCAAUUUCAUCAUCCAAACUUUGCAUUGGGAUUUGAUAAUAAUAUAUCUUCUUCUUUAUUAUAAACAAAUUCAACUAUACUACUCUAUGCUAAUCUACCGAUUCAAUUCAUUACAAAUCAUCAAUCUAGAGAGUAGUUAAGGUUAGUUAAGCUUCCUUUCUUUAUUUUUCAUAACAGUUUGUAUAAUAAAAUUGUUUAUAAUCAAUCUCUUGAGAGAGCGGGUCGUAUAUAUAUCGUGUAUUUAAGUUGUGGAUCAAGUUUACGGUUCGACAUUAAAGUCGUGUAUGUAUCAGGUACACGACUUGACUCGCGUGUCUAAGUCAAAUUGAUCAAAAUAUUUGUGAUUGGAUUCAUGACUUUCUUUGAAAACUAAAACUAUUUUGUUGUUUACCAUAGCUUGUACAUCAAACUCAUUUAUGUAUUAUCUUUUCUAAACCAUCCUAAUUUUAUCAUUACUCUUAAAAAAACACUAUUCCUAAACUUUGAUCCAAAUCUUAAUAGAGAAUUCUUUUAAAAGGCCCUAAACUUUAAAAAAAAAAAAAAAUUAACAAACAAACUUUCAACACUUUUAAAGAUUUUUUUAUUUUUUAAAAAAACAAAUACAUUACACUAAAUAUUUGGUCAAUUUUUAUAUUUUUAAUAAUUUUCUUUUUAGAAAAAAAAAAAGUAAACUUACAUUAGUUAUUAUUUUAAAAAAUCAUAUGCUUUCUUUGUCAUUUGAAAUUAUCUUGUAAAAAAUUAUUAAUUAUUUAUUGUCAAAUGAUUGAGGGGUCGAAAGCAAAAAACAAUUAUAUAUUUGUGAUAGUGUUACAUCAAUUUAAUAACGAAAUCAUCAUAAAUUUAUAAGAGAGGAUAAACGAAAAAUCAAAACCUCAAUAUAAUUUCAUGCUGAAAAUAGGAUAUGAUUGAAAAGAUAUUUGAAUGCGGGCUGUUCCUAUCAAUUAACCUAACCUUUAUUUACUGUCUUUUUUAUUUACUUUUUACUUUUUCAUCUGAAAGAGUUUCAAUGUUCAAUCGUUUUCUUCUUAGAUCUUAUAACCUUUGUUACGUCAUGUCAUACCCAUUUCUCCUGCUUUCUUUUUCUUCUCUUUUUUGUUUCUGACAUGGAAACAUAUAUAUAUAUAUAUAGUUAUACACACACACUAGAAAAGUUGAAUAUAAUAGGUAUAUAUAUAUAAAUAUUUGAACUUGGGAAGCAAACAAUUUCUUCAAAUGUCUGGGUUACUAUAGAUUGAACACAUUUUCUUUCAAUCCUUUGUUGCAUGGUUUAUGUAACAUAUAUAAUAUUAGUACUAUUGUGGAUUAUAUAUAUAUUUACAUAAUAUAAUUUAGUUUAAAUUUCAAAAUAUACACUUUUAACUUAGAUUUUUUCACUAAGUACUUAUUUGCAAUAAUUGUUUUUAAUGUCUAAUAUUAAUUAAUUUAAAAGAAUAUAUAAUUAAUUAAGUUUCUAUUUUUUUCAUCAUUAUUAAAAUUCAUUUAAAUUUAGGCUCCAUGAUUAUUUUUAACUUUUAACCAAAAUCACGUAUUGUUUUCAUGAAUUAAAAGAGUAUAAUUGAAAUUCGAAUUAUAUAAAGCUUAAAUUGAAAAGAUAUAUCAUCAUGCACUAUAAUAGAACUCAUGGAAUCCUUUUUCAAAUAGUUAAUAUGAUUUAAUUCAAUAUCAACUCAUCAUAUAUCAUUAGUUCUUACAAAUAACUUGUCGCAACUCCUUGAGCCACACUACUUCAAAUGACAUUAGUUUACACUAUAGUUCUCUCCCAAUUUUGUAUUAAAUUUUCAUAAAAUGAAAAAUAAUUGCAUAUUGAAUCAUUCUAUCUUUUUCAUCACCAAACAAAAAAAAAAAAGAAAGGAAAUUGAAACGUUAAGAAGACGACGGUUAGUGGUUGUGGUGGUGGUGGUGUAGCGGAGGGGGUGCCAUUGUGAAGUUAUGUUGCUGCGAAGGCAAAGGAGGUGGGCAUUGAUAACACUUGGCAAAGAGGCCGAAAUUAUCAAUCUGUCGUAUGAAGUUCGUCAUACUCGCCCACCCACCAAAGCCAAACCCUACAACCAACACCCAUACUACUACAAACACAUUAAUAGUAUAGGUCCCCACCCACUUGCCCACAAAUUUAGGUGGUUGCUCGACAGCAUUCUGCAACAUAAAAGAAUAAAUUUAUCCAAACCUUUCAACUUAAAUUAGCAGUUAGAUUUAUAGACAAAUGAAGUGAUCAGAUACACACGAAAACGACUAACCUCUCUUGCAGUAGGGGAUUUGAAGGUGAACAUAUGAGCAAGGGCGGGGAUGAUGUAGACGGUGAAACUAACGAGGAGUGAACCCACGGCCGAGUUGAUGGGACCGAAAAAGGGAAAAACAAUGGCCAAAAACCAAAUGGGAAUGACGACAGGCAAUCUAGCUGCGGCUCGUUUGCAUAAGCUCUUGCAUUUGUGCAUCCCUAUUGCUUUCUCCCAUACAAAAUAUAAUGGUGUGCAUGCAAACCCAAAUGUUAUGAACUGCAUGCCCCCACAUAUCAAACCCCAUUAGUAAAAACAAAUAACUACUAACAAUUCAACUUUACUAACUCACUUGUUUGAUGAAAAUAUCAAUCAUCAAUGGUUAUUAGUCUAUACUGUCAAUUAACUAAUGGAGUCACACACAAAAAAAAAAAAAAAAAAACUCAGUUGAUACUGUACAUUGACGACCAAAAAAUUUAUGGUUCAAAUCAUGUUAUCCUUUAUAUAAAUAAACAAAUAUUUAAAGUUAUUGAAAAGGACGGGGUAAUAUUCAAUUCACUCACCAAAAACCAAUCAAGCAAACUUGAGGUUUUUUUUUCUAUAAAGUUUCUAAUUAUAUUUAUUAUCUAGUAACAAAACAAGUUCGGUCUUUUUAGGCGGCUGGUUUUAUGAUUUUCCUCCUAGGUUCUCAUGUCUCCGUCUGUUGUUCCUCCCAUCUCUAAGAUGGUUCAUACAUGUCACCAACCAUUGCUCCUUCUCGUUUCUCAAAAUGCUACGUCCCUACCUUUUCCUUGUCACAAAAUGCUUAAACACAAUCCAACCUGAUCUAUAACCCACGAACACAUCUCUAACCUAAUUCUCAUUUCUUAUAGAAAAAUAUCAUGAAUUAGAAAAAGACUGAAUUCAUGCAUACAGUUGAUCAAAGUCAGUUUGAUAAGAAAAAACCACUUCAAUUGAACUGAUAAUUAAUCACUUGGAUGUAAUAAAUAGACAGAACU
rnacentral:lncRNA from 1 species